rnacentral:lncRNA from 1 species
UUUUUUUUUGUAUGAUAUUUUGCAAUUUCUAGUGUUUUGAUUGAGCUUGUUAUGACCUAUUUGUAAGCCAUCUCAUGCUUUAGAUUUGUGAUUAGAUCAUUGUAUAUAAGCCAAAAUGAGUUUAUGAUAAGGAUUAAGGACUAUGCUUACUGUAUGAAUGAAACUGAGAGUGAAGUGGUAUUUCUUUUUAAUAGGUAGACAUGGACUUCCUGACUGUAAAAAAGAAAGAACUUACGUUUAAAAAAAAUAGUCCAAAUAUGGUCUCAAGUCUAGACUGGAAUAAGCCUCUCUUUUUUUGGCUUUCAUUUUUGCAGCCCUAAGAAAAGUGCAGUAAAUGGGCGAUGCAUUCCUUAAAUACUUGAAAAAAAUUCAUUUGUGAUUUCUACCACAUAUAUUGUUGCUGCUACAUGCACAUAUAUUCUUUUUGGCUACACAAUUUCCUUCAACGGCCAAAGGCUUGUCUAUUAGUUUUCUUUGUAUUUGAUGAAAUAUUGUAACGAGACAAUUUUCAAGGCAAGAUACAUGAAACAAAAGUUGAAAGCAUGAUAGCAUUGUACUCCCUCCGUCCCAAAAUUCUUGUCUUAGAUUUAUCUAGAUACGGAUGUAUCUUACACUAAAACAUGAAUAGAUACAUCCGUAUCUAGACAAAUCUAAGACAAGAAUUUUGGGACGGAGGGAGUACAAUUUUAUCUCAUUAAAAAAUGAUGUGCACGUAGUAUACAGAUCGAAAACUGAAUGAAAAAAAUACGUGCAACAUUUUCUUCUUUGCAUCAGUCAAUAUGUACAUGCACAUUUGCACGUACACGGUUACUAGUUGGUGCACGUACACGGUUACUAGUUGAAAAGAAAUUGUCCACAAUUCUUUAUGGCUCACCAGCUCGUGUACCUGCACUGACUGAAAAUCUCCGGAUGAAACUAGACCAUAUGGAGGGGCAAAGAAGCAUCAUGGUGCCUCACCACACAGUUCAUUUCGUACUGGGAACUGGAAACUAUAACAUUUUCAAAGCCAGCCGUUUUAAAAUAGAUGACCCAAUUUUAUACUAAUAUUGUACUAAAGUUAGUAUAAACUUGAGUCAUCUAUUUUGAAACGGAGGGAGUAUGAGCCGAGUACAUGUCAGCGCAACCAAGCAACAGAUAAUAUUCAGAUUUGGAUUUGGGCAGAAGUGCCGAUCAUCAUCGAGCAAAGAAGAGAAAGAAGAAGGCAUACUACAACUUGAAUCUUCAGAUUUGGUAGCUUUGUAUAGAGACUCAAAAGGGCACAGACAUGCUGCUGCUGGUACUGAUUUUCUAGCUAACUGAAGCCCAACUUCCUUUGCCGAAGUCAACUACUUCCAACUUGAUGUCACAGAUCAGCGAGUCCACUUCUUCCAGCUUGAAGCAAAAGCCAUCCAUCGCAUCCAGUGAUCUCAUCCUUGAAAGAUUCGGAAUGUACCAAAGUUCAGAGGGCCAAAACACCGCAUAGUACGGUCCAAAGCCUGGGAAAGCACGCUCAGACGUCUGACUUUCCAAGUCGUACACCCUCACACCACUCCAGCCACGAAGACCGAAAUUGUCGUGGUGUUUCAGCCGAGGCGUGGUGAAGUAGACGCAGUUGGGCCUGAGCUCCGGAAACUCCCUGAUGGGCAGACACACUGAGUGUUUCAAGCCGACAAACACCGCAUGUUCCGGCAGGGCUGCCGAAGAGCUCAGAGCAACCAGCAUGUGCACUUCGACGUUGACUUGGAGCACCUCUACCUUGAUUUCUCUGGGGUGUUGAGUGCGUCGAACGGUUCGUAUCUGCAGGAGGCGGCCGCAGGCCGUAGACACAAGGAAUCUGGUAAGGACCCUCCUAUACCUUUUGUCCCCGUCGGCGAUGAUCACCUCUUUGUUUGGUUCUUGCAGCCCACAAAGAUCCCACGCCUCGACCACCCCACGCAACGUCACCGUGUAGAAUCUUCCGUCGUGGUAGAGACAAUCGGCAUACCGAUCGUCGCCCCCGUCAGGGAGAGCCGAGGCAAGUCGCCAGCGCCCCUCUCUUGCUCUUGUGAAGGAAAAACAGUUAGCAUCAUAGUGGAUGGCCACGGCAGUGUAGUCAUCACCAUGAGAUGGAUCGCAUGACAACACCACCUUUUGGUAGAACCAUGUGCCGAGGUCUUGCGCACCGGGCUGACUAGGCUCAUGCUGAAGGUAUUUCCCAAAACGAUAGCCCACGAUGCCUCCGUCGGCGUCGUAGACCCCCUUGACGCACUCCAGAUCGGUGAUGGGCGGGAGAAGGAUCGUGGCGAAGGUGAAGGGGUGGUAGAGCACGAGGUUGGAGAGCUCGUCCGACGCGACGAGCCAUCCAUGCGAGGCUCCACACCACUCGAGCCUGCGCCGCCCGGCGGGCAAGCUAACCUUGUGGGUCCUGCGGGUGCCGAGGAGGUUCCGGAACUCGCUGCUCCGGCAGUUGGCCGUUUUCCAGCUAAUGAGCCACGGCGUGCGGCCGCGAGGGACGCCGGCGGCCGCUGCGGCUGAGCGCCAUGAAGUGCAGACGGCUGCGGCAGCGAGAGCUUCGGGGAGCUCAAGGAGUUGCAAGAUGAGGCCAAGGAGAUCGCCUGGGAGAUCCGUCCAGCUGCCGCUACUUGCACAAUGAUCUGCCAUAGUAAAACAGAGUUGGUUUUUCUUCUGUCGUAUAUAUGCUUUUGCAGAAUAUUAGUAAGCGAACAGACUAUGUAGAGUAUUAUUGACGAAACGCAGCGUACGACUCGGACAAGGAGUCCAUCAGGAUUCACAACUCGGAGAAAGAACGCGAGUGUGCCUUAAGAAAUCUAGGACCCUCUUAUCUCGCGAGCGUUCGCUCGGAGGGGAUGCCAUUUGCAAACGUUUAGAUGGCGGUUUUAGUUGUGUGGGGGUUGGCAAUUUAUUCAGAACAACAUACUAGUUUCUGGGUAGAAGGAAAUUUUGAGAAAACAAGCAAAAAUUGGUAUCGUUUGAUCUUGCGUCGCAACUACAAUUGCAAGCAAACAUUGUUCAUUUGACAUCCCCUUCCUAGGGAACGUCAACCAGAUAGUGUUACCGAAAAUCUAUUCGGAACAUAUUAGACAAGCUCCCCUGCAUGAAUUGAAAUCACAACCAAACGAGAACCAAUGAAGAUUCAAUUGGUUCAACAACUUAAAAAUGAGUUAAAUUUGGUACAUCUUUAUUCAAUCAUCAGUUGCAUUCGAACAACACUUGAGGGGGGGGGGGGCGAGGGGCAAGUUUUAUGAACCUUGGUCAAAAGAGAAAAUGUGGGCAACAUUAUUCAUUGUUCGACGCAACUAUUUAAAUCUAAAAUCAACUUAGAAUCGGGGAGUCAUUUAACUUUCUUGACUAAUUGUCCAGAUACAGGAAGUGUUGACCCGGAGGUCUCAUAUUCUAUUGAUCGAUCAAGAGAGAUUGGUUGUUGGCUAAGAAUAGACUAGGUUUGUUAAAGACCACUAACUAGAGCCAGCCGACUCGCUUUCUCCACCGGCGCAACGAGGAAUGACUUGCUCUCAAGUCAAAAAAGGUGUCCAUGUCUAGAAGGAUCCGCCCCAUCUCUAGUUCUUCUCUCUUUUCCGGAUUGAUGAAGGUGGAUAAGUCCCAUUCCUUUUUAAUGAGCUUGCUAAAAAGAGUAAAUUCCGGUUUUUACCCCCUAUUUUGACAUUUUUGACACUAAUUACCCCAUUUAGCAGGAUUUCAUCCAUUUUACCCUAUUUAGUAGAAAUGUUGCCAUAAUUUACCCUGUUUAAUUUUUUGUGAGCAUUCUAACCGGCAGGUCCAAUUGUGUUGUGCCUAUUUACCCUGUCUAUUUUUUGGAGUUGAUGGUAUUCUCCCAUUAUUUAUAAAAUAGAUCCUUCUCUAUUAUUUGCAACAGAUCAUGGAAAUAAAAUGCAAAAAAUUUGUGUUAUGGCAACUAUUUCUGCCUAUUUGUUCCCUGGGUCAUGAUGUCAAUUCGUCUCCUUAUUCAAGGAUCAUGCUGUCAAAUUAUCUCUCUUUUGCCAAACAGAUCGUAUUUCUGCUUCACACUACUGUCAAAACUGAUUAAUAUAGGCUAUAGACUGCUCUGGAUUCACAUGUUCGAAACAUGAUUGAAUAAUGCUUCCCAUUUAUAGAUAGCUUCACUAGUUCACAACUACACAAACUACAGAAUACACCAAACAGUGGCAGUGGCAAUGACAGGCUACACAAGCAGCGGCACGAACACCUUGUCAGUCUUCACCUUUCUUAGCUCCUACACAUUGCAGAAGGGUGACAUGUAUACACAUGAUCUUCAAUAAGCAUCUUAAUUCUGUCCUAAUGAAACGCCUCGCCGGCUAAUGCAUGAGUCAGGAAAAUAUCAGACUACACAAAUUGCUAUGAUAGAUAUGGUCAAAAUCUUGUGGAAUGGGGUACGACUGAGAGGGGUUGUUUGUUCACCAACCUCACUAAUUUGUUGGACCAGCCAUCGCCAUAGCCCCGCCAUCAACUGAGCACAUCCUCAUGGGGUCCCUGGUAUGUCGCCAAAGUAGUAAGAUGAACUGGUCACAGCCUAAUGGGAUCAUGUACAUGGACGCGCCUAUGCCAACGUCGGCGAGCUUGACGGAGCCAUCGGAUUCCACAGGGUCAUUUCUUGCUUGGAUGCCGUGGCCAUACAACCCUGCUCGAGGAGGUAUGAAAUCGCAUGGCCGGCUGCUCAACACUCAUUGCCGCCACCGCCGUCAUCAUCACCGCUGCCUGACAAUCCCCAACCCAAGGUUCGAGCGAGCCUAGCAUGUGUGUGGGUUGGAAACCUAGACGGGCGAUGCAAUCGAUAGGGGACAGGCAACACAAGCAAGAACCGACUGGAGGCAAGCGUGGCCCACGGCCGACUCGGGCGUUGUGCGUUGGAUGCAACGCGAGCGACCUCCAUCAGGCUGGUCCUGUUCCCGGUCAAGGAGAAGCUGGGAGGACCGGUCCAGCAGGAAGAAAAUAGGCAGGAAAAAACGGUCGAUGUGGGAUGCCAAGUGGACCUGACAAUUGGGACAUGUCGGUCAGAACGCUCACAAAAUUUUAAACAGGGUAAAUUGUGGCAGAACUUUUGUUAAAUUGGAUAAAAUGGAUGAAAUAUGGCUAAAUGAGGUAAUUAGUGUCAAAAAUAUCAAAAUAGGGGGUAAAAACUGGAAUUUACUCUGCUAAAAACCAUGGCACUGUCUAUGCAUUUUUGUGGACAGGUUUGUGAUGUUCGGGAAAAACCAACAUGUCCCAACCUAGAACCUGACGUAAUGACCUUGUGGGACCGUCCUGCCUACACCACAUCCUCCCGUCGUCGAGUGGCCAAAUUUACUGUUUUGACCCUUUUAUGAAAGUUUAGCCGGAUCUCACCCUUGUUCAAAAAUAUUUCGGGAUUUGACCAUUUUUCUUACCGCCACAGUCCUCGGUGGGAGGGUAUAAUAUGCUACCGCCACGGUCUGUCACGGUAGGGUUUAACUGUGAAAAAUACCCUACCGCCAAGGUUUAUUGCGGUAGGCAUUUAUAACCUACCGCCAGUGCCCUUGGCGGUGGGGCAGGUCAUUGUUCCCAAACGAAAGUUGCAUGUGCAUGCGCCCACCCGGUUAAAGCUGCUGCUGCUACAUGCACGCCUACCCAGCUUAAGCUGCUGCUGCUAGUACUCCUUGUGCAUACAUGGCAAUGGGAGAGAGAGUGAUUGAUUGAUUGGAUCCAAUAAACAAACAUCCAAUGACGUGUGCCUCUGGUUCCCAUCUAUGUUCACCGAGAAUGCAUGCAUCGAUGCAUGUUUCUGGGAGGUAGUGACAAUACUAAAAGAGGAAUAUAAGGCUGUACCGCUGCACCUUGCGGGAAUGAUGCGUGCAUGCAUGUUGCACAGCUACUGCCAUGCUCUUUGGCGGUAGGUUUGUAUAGCCUACCACCAUUGACGCUGGUGGUAGCCACUUAACCACGUCAGUUGUCCGUGACGGCGUUGGUAUGUUGACCAGGUUUCUACCGUCAGGAUCAAUGGCGGUAGGCUGUUCUACCCUACCGCCAAAGAUUAUGGCGGUAGGAAAAGGGUCAGAUCCUAAAAUACUUUUGAACAAGGGUCAGAUCCGGCUAAACUUUAACAAAAGGGUCAAAACACGAAAAUUGGCCUCCUCGAGUAGGCACCAUCUAUGUUGGCUUUGACCCAACCCCGAGGAAGCCAACCACCCUUUGUUGGGACCUGCUAACAAAUGCAUAUCAAAGAUUUUAAACCCCUACAUACAAUGUGCACAUUAUAUCCAUACACGCAACUAGGGACGAAGCUAGAAAAAAUGUUUGAUGGAGUCGUGUCUAUGACAGUGGGGUCAUCUUCUGCAAAUAGAUAGUGAUUAGUACUAAGUUAGUGAAGGAUUUCUUAAUUUCAUUGGGGUCAAUUGACCCCAAUGCUUACAAGGGAGCUACGUCCCUACACGCAACAUGCAUCUGUGUAUAAUGACGGACCCAUCCCACUGACCCAGGGUGGGCCAGAGGUGCAUACACUCUAAAGAUUUAUUUUAUUUUUUUAUUCUAUCUAUUUUGCUAUGGUAUAAAGGUUGAUUCUUAAAUCUUGGCCACCCUAUAGCUUUGCCACUGUCUAUGUACCACGUGGAACAUGUGGUUUGCAAUCCAAACAUAACUCUACGAUAGAAACUAUAACUUAUAUAUACAACAACUUUGAUACAAGUAAAGUUUAACAACUUAAUACAAACAAAAAAGACUAGGGAAGUGUUCUGGUACUAAAAGGUACCCAUAGGAAAUCCUCAAGUUAGUGAUAUUAUGAGAGAUCAAAACAUUUUAUGGGUUUGCUAUGAGGAGAUAAAUGAGGAGGAAAUUUGCAAGAUCCCAGUCGCUAGAUCCACAACCAAAGAAUACAUAAGUUAAACCAUAGAGAAAAGAUUUAAUUGGUUAUCUUUUUUAGGACUAUUUAAUUGGUUAUCUUUGAUAGAACCCUACGAGAAGGUGAAAAGGCCUCUGUGAGGUUGGGGAUCCUGUUUCUUAGUUUGUUAUAAAUGUUGAUAUGUCUUAUGAAGAGCAAGGGAGAGUUUCACACUUGGUGAUCCCCCGCCUUUCAAAGAGAUAAAGGAAGAAAAGAGCCCCCAUUGUGGAGGAAGUGGGGAAGACAAGACUUUAAUGUCUUUCGGAAUCUAUCAUGUCUAACUCAGAGGCAUAAAAGACGGUGCUUUUUGGGAGGCAGCCCACAUUUAUUGUUUGGUUUGAAUAGUGUAAGACAUUUUAACUACUGUAGCAAAGUUGUUUUCUUUUUUUCUUUCAAUAAAGUGCCAAGUUAUGCAUUUAGUUUGAAUGUUUAGACUUAGUGGUAGUUGAUGUUAUGUUUUCUGUUGUUUGUUGUACUUCCAGAUAAGGGUAUAAUUCAUUGGAACGUGCUUUUGACUAUUUUUUACUGAACAGGUCCACGUAUGUCUAAUAUUUAUCCUAAUUUUGGGGGAAUUUUUUGAGUUUUGUAAGUGCUAUAAAAAAUUACCUUCUUACCUGCUGGUCUGUUUUGACAAAUUCUUGUGCGGUUGUUGUAUUUGCUAUAGGCUUACAUAGUUUUCACUUCUCCUUGAUCAAAAGAGCCUAUGAUUGUGUCUUUUACUAUAACUGAUGUUAUUCCAUGUUUUCAUUGUUUAUAUAAAGCAAGUACAACUAUUUUGUAAUUAUUUAUGGACUAAUCCGGACUCUUGGUUCCUUCUGAACUAUACUUCUAUAUGAGAUUAACUUCCUAAGGGAUGCCAUCACAAUUACACAAGCACCAGGAGGGUUUGAGGUUCAAGUUUGGGGAUUCCCAAGGCAACCCCACUUUAAUUCUAAGAAGACCCAAAAGGCAAAGCUUGGGGGUUCCCAAGGCUCCAUGUUAUUGAUCAACAACCAAUGUAUGAUCCCCGUUGAACCACUAUUUUUUAGUAUUGCUUUGUCUGUAUUUUCUUGGACCAAUCUUUUUUUUGAAUAAAUNNNNNNNNNNNNNNNNNNNNNNNNNNNNNNNNNNNNNNNNNNNNNNNNNNNNNNNNNNNNNNNNNNNNNNNNNNNNNNNNNNNNNNNNNNNNNNNNNNNNNNNNNNNNNNNNNNNNNNNNNNNNNNNNNNNNNNNNNNNNNNNNNNNNNNNNNNNNNNNNNNNNNNNNNNNNNNNNNNNNNNNNNNNNNNNNNNNNNNNNNNNNNNNNNNNNNNNNNNNNNNNNNNNNNNNNNNNNNNNNNNNNNNNNNNNNNNNNNNNNNNNNNNNNNNNNNNNNNNNNNNNNNNNNNNNNNNNNNNNNNNNNNNNNAGAGAGAGAAAGAGAGAGAUCUUGGCUUUGUUAUUUACUCUUUGUGUUUCACUUAAAUUUGUUAGAGUAAUAUAUGUGAUGUGUUGUGGUUAUAACUUCUAUGUGCUUCACUAACAUUUUGUUAGAAAGUUUUAGGAUUUUGCUGGUACAUGUUUUUAUAAUAUAUCUUGAGCUUAUUGUCUUGGGUUUAGUAUUGGACUUUUAAGUCUUGCAGAAUUGGGAUGGUAAUUAACAUGAUAAGAACACCCAAGUAGAGUGUGCUUCAAUAGUUAUGGAUUUUUGGUUUUGGUUUUAAGACUUUCUUAUCACUGUGGAUUUGUAUCUAAGGUAGCUAUUGCUAUUUGGAGAUAGGAUAAUGUGCUCAGUGUUUAAAAAAACCUUGUGUUGCUUUCACAUAAUAAUAAAAAUUGGGGACUCUAAUGAGAAGUUGAAAAUGCAAAGUCUUGUUUGCAUGCAACCAUCAUAGACUAGCGACUUUGAUGUGGGCGGGGUCGAUCAAUGAUCUUAACCUACCACAAUCCUCCCCCAUGGGAUACUUUACUUGUUGUACUAUGCUCUAGUAAGGCCAUGAGGCACGUAUUGGGUUGAUUAGGCAUUUAUGAUUAAUGCAAUCUUUUGAGUACUGUGCUUCCACCCAAACAACCUUAUUUGCUAACCUCCUCGGUAUCAAGGAUUGCCCACUAUCACACUGAGACAUGGUGCAUUGUUUGUUGGUACAUCCAACCAUGUGGGAGGAUUUCCUCUUGUCCUCGUACACAUAAACCCAACAUCUUCUCUAAACAACCACCAUACCUACCUACAUAUGGCAUUUACAUAGCCAUUCCGAGUAAAUUGACAUGCACUACCAUCAUUCGUGUUACAUGACUAGAUAUAUGUUGUCAUUUUCGUAUGCCUUGCAUGAGGCCAUUUGCUCAUUAUAUACAUGCCACACUAGAUCAUUGCCCAUUCUGGUAUAUUGCUAGAGGCGUCAUUUAGAGAGUUCUUUUCAUGUACAUAGCAAGAGCUACGAUUGCAUUUUUAUGAAGUUAAGAAAAGUGUAUUGAUCAUCAUUGUAAGGUGUUGCUUAUAACUUGAGAGAGAAAAGAUGUCCCAAGGAGGCGCAAAAAAUGAGAGAGAGAGAGAGAGAAGGAGCAACACCAUUAUCUUUUUAGAGUACACGUGUGAAAUCCUUCAAAGUAGCACUACGUGUUCAAAAUAGAAAAUAUAAAGUGCUUCGAAGUAGCACCAAGCAUAGGAAGCAAAAUAAGUGCUUCAAAAUAGCACAGCUUGAUGCAUGUCAUAGUUGAGAGUUCACGAGUUUUGUCAUAUGUACUAGUGGGGACUUAACAUUAUAGAGUUUGGUUUGUAUAUUUCAAUGGUGAGACUCCUUAAAUGAGUUUCAGGUCUUUGUGAGCAAACAAGUUGGAUGCACCACAUUAGUCCAUAGAAGAGCUUUCAUUCAUAUAUAGCUCUAUGUGCAUCCUAGUUGCAUGGCAAUCCCUACUCCUUACACAAUAUCGAUCAUAAGUUCUCCAUAUUAUAUAUAUCCUAAUGGUCAGCUACAUUGUUGCAAUACUUUCUUGUUUUUAACUUCUUAAAACCCCCCAAAAUUGUGUUCUCAUUGCCAUUGAUUAGGCUACUGACUCAUACUUGCACUCAAAUUCUGAGUUUGUGAAGAUUGUGAAAUAAAACAAACAUGCAACAAGUGGUUAUAUUCGGUGUGUUUGGUCAGAACUGUCAAAUAAGCAAAUACAGAGCAAAAUACAUGACCCGGUCUAUAGGUGGAAAAUGGGGGGUGGUGCACCUCCUGAUGUCACAUUCUGUGAUAAUGGUGCAGGAAUGGGGCCUCUCAUGCUGAGCAAGUCAAACGCAAAAAUGCAAUAAAUGUUCUUUGUGGUCGAUGGCAGUUGGAGUUUAAAAUCCGGCACAUACGCUUUGUUUUUCAUGUGGCCUUGCAUGUGUAGGUGGUUCGACGAAGUGCAGGUGAUUUGAAAAACUUUGCAAAUUAAAUAGAUUGUGUAUUGUAAAAAAAGGUUUAAAAACAUGAUUGGGUGGUUAACAUGAGAAACUAUAAUCCGGGAGGUAUUGAGGUCGCAAACAAAAAACUAAACAUGCACAAUUUAGUUCCAGGCUUUCACCCACUGAAUUUUUCCCAAUCAAGUCACACUUCUCAAGUGUGUGUUUUUUGGACUCCUACCUUUUCUUCCACGCUAGAGAAAGAAUCUUAACAUGAAACGAAGAGGGUAAUGAUUAAGAGCAAGAAGAGUAAUGGAGUAAGAUGAAGAGGUGGAGUCAAUUGGUUCAUGCAAUGCAUGGGGAAGGGCACCGAGGGAUUGUCUUUAUGGACACAUAGGCCCACUUAUCAUGUGUGUGUGAAGACAUGUGUAGGUGACUCACUCCCACGCAAAUUAAGAAUACAUACUUUUCUCUAGCAAUACGCAAGAAGCAUGUUGAAUCAUGAAGUCAGGACAACUAUGAGGGCAGGGCGUUGACCUGUUGGCUGGGCAACCGGGGUAGUUGUCAGCCCGCCCGGGUUCGAGCCUCGGCUCUAACCUGCGGCGCUCGCGGAGUUUCUCCUAUAAAAAAUGCAAAUGAGGGUUAGCCUUUGAGUUGGUCUCAUUUCUUUUUAAGCCAGGACAACUAUCUAUAGCUGAAAAUCCUCGUGUUACUCGUUCAAAUCUGGUUCCUGGCAAAGGAAAAAAAGGAUCCAUCAAAUAGGUAUUGAUUCAAGUAUCUCAAGAUGGAUUGUGAUACAUAAUCAUUAAUAAUAUGGAUAGAGUAUGAUUUAUUCAUCCAAUUUGUACAAUAAUCCCUUUAUAGAAAAGGGUCCCGUUAUCCCGAGCCAGUCUUACCUUUGCUUGCAAGCCCCAAGUUUGUCUAUAAAGAGCUAAUCUAAUUGGAUUUCCCCCCAAUGGAUUUGUAUGCAGCUGCUGCCCUGAGCAGCCAAGCAUUUCCCCCUAGUUGAGCUCAUGUGUGGAUUUCUAUGCAGCUGCUGCCCUGAGCAGCCAGGCAUUUUCCCUAGUUGAGCUCAUGUGUAUAUGCAAGACUUGGGAACCCAAACCUUGCUACAUCAAGUGGUUCAUCAUCAAGUUUCCUCGGUGCAAGGUCAACCAUGUUGCUUAAUAAAUGAAGUUUAUCGGUGCCAACUUCUUUUUAGGGAAAAGGCAGCCAGGUCACCAGAGCUAACUGGUAAGCCCAAGGCACAACACGAAGUGUCGAAACAUGUGAGACUGGAAACUAAUACUCCCUCCAUCCGGAAAUACUUGUCAUUAAAAUGGAUAAAAGAGGAUGUAUCUAGACGUAUUUUAGUUCGAGAUAUAUCACUUUUUAUCCAUUUUAAUGACAAGUAUUUUGGGACGGAGGGAGUACUCAAUAAAUAUGAAUGUGUGCUUAUAUCUACUAAUCGUAGACACACAAUUUAUAUGUGAAAACGCAUCACAAGUUUUCCAACUAAAAUCAUAACUACAAUGACACAAGUCGAAAGCUCCAAACUUAAAAUAGAUACAUCUACACUAAUUUGUAAAGUUCCAGCCAUAUAAUAACCAAUUGCCUCUUGCCAUUGGGGCUUUAUACCUCUGCUGUAAAUACGAAACUGGAUGAUGAGCCCAUUUUUAUAUCUGUAGGUUGGGUAACUCAAUCGUCAGAGAAUGAGCAGUAGGACUGAACUACCGACAGUUGGCCUUUUGGCCAGUUUACCAAGCACCCCCAGUUAGCAUAAUUCCACAGCUGUAAGCUACUCAUCAGUCAUUACAAGCAUCACAAAUACAAUAAUUACUCCGCAAGUUUUGCCCAAGAAAAGAAGGUACACAAAAGAAACUGAAUUUAUGUACAGAAGAAUUUCUGAUGAUUCACGAGAACCCUGCGCUUGCAAUAAGUGAACAAAAUAUAAUGGCUUCCGAGUAAACAAAAAUAGGAUUAUACCGAACCACACUUGCUAUGAAUUUCAAAAUCUAUAACUCGCCUACUACUCCCCAAUAGGGGGACUUCCCAAAGAACUUAUGUACUAUGAGCAGAAGCUAUCGCUGUGACAGAAAUGGUGCUAACAAGGAUUCUCAUUCAUCUUUACAAGCCACCGGCCUUAUUAGCAGCAGUUUUGCUAGGCUUUGUUUUGGCAAUGCUGACCAGAUCACCAAAGAGUGAAUCUUCGGGUCUUGCUGGCCUAUUAGCCUGCUGAAGGGAAGAAGACGCGGGUGUGCCAUACAAGCCGUUGUUUUGCAUGGCAAGUCCGUUCAUUCUCUGAGAAAGCUCGUUUGCACUGGGAUACCCAUAUGCAGCAUUUGGGACAUAGUAGCCUCCAGGCUGCUGACCAUAGCCAUAGCCGGCCGCCAUCUGCCCACCAUACAUCUGUUGCUGGUAGAUAUCUCCUGCCAUCUGUUGGGGAUACAUGCCGCCUGCUUGGUUGCCUUGCAUUGAAGGAUACAUGCCCCCAUAUUGCGUGUUUGGCAUUGAUUGCGGAUGUUGAGCCCCAGGCUGCUCCACAUAUCCCGGUGGAAACUGCAUCCCGCCUGGUUGUCCAGUCAGCAAUGGUUGCGACAGUGAAACUUGCCCAGGCUGACCAACUUGAACAGGUUGGGGUGGAAUGCCUCCGAAUUGUCCUGGUGGCAUUGCCAACCUGUCAGGUUGACCAGCUUGGAACUGAUCGUUUUCUGCAGGCUGAGUUUCCCAGGGUGGUGGUGGGAGGUCGCUGCUUUGAUCAUCUUGACCUGUCAAUCACAAAGUACCUACAGCUGAGGACAGCCUUGUACAUGCCGUAAACAGAGGCAAAGCUACAGAAAUAUUUGGCGGACAAACAAAAACAAGAGUCCACACUACUCUCUCGAAAAACUUGUAGUACAUAAAUAGCAUUUACAAAACAAAUAUUGUAAGAACUACUCCCUCUGUAUCAAAAUAUAAGACGUUUUUUGACACUGUCAUAGUGUCAACGUCUUAUAUUUUGAUACGGAGGGAGUAGAUACCAAACAUAGAUACUACUCCCUCCAUCCCAUAAUAUAAGAUGUUAUUACAACCGAUAUACUCACAUACUAGUUGUAAUAACAUAUUAUAUUGUGGGACGGAGGGAGUACUAAAUAACAUAUUAGAAGGUCAUAUUGUAACCAUAGAAGAUAGUGUUAUGUACCAUAAUUUGGUGCCUGAUGUGGUUGAUUCAUUCCUUGAGCAAGCUGCCCAUUCCACGAACUUGCUGAGUUUAGGUCAGAACCUUGACCAUAAGUUGGGAUUGUAUUGGAGGCCAACCCAUUGGAAAAUGAAGACUGCUGUGGUGGAACAGGAUGCUGUGGAGCAAGAUAUGCUUGUGGUGCCGAGAGAUUAGGAUUUGAGUUCAAUAUUGGGGAUGAUAUAACAGGGUUGUGACUGUUAUUGCUAGCAUCGCUUUGCGAAAACAUGUCUACAAGAUCUAAGGUAUUGUGGCCUGAAGCAGAAGCUGCAGGGGAAUUGCCAACAGGAACAAGGGCUUGAGAAUUCACAGGUUCUGGCUUGAAAUAAUCAUCUCCACUGAGUAGGUCAAUACUAGGACCAACAGAUGCUUCUCCAGGAGGCUUUGAGGUGCUGGAUGAUGGAGGGGCAGGAAGUGCUAAUUGCUCAAAUGGAGAAACCUUACCGGCAGCUUCAGAAGACCUGACAGGUUCAGACGGUAUAUAAUCAAGAAGUCAGUCAGAGCAUAAUGCAGUACUCUACUAUUUUAAUCAUUCCAAUACUGUUUCAAGAGUUCUGAACCCGCAUUAUGCAUGCAUCAUUUCAGGAGAGUAGCAUAAAUUGAUUAAAACAGGAUGCUUGGUAUAAGAUAACACAACCUUUGAGUUGGCUCUUUUGGCCCCUCUGGCUUUGCUGGUGGGGAACUAUUCGCAGGGGCCUGUGGUAGUUUUGGCUUUUCUACCCGAACAGCUAUGCCUGCAGCAAUCGCAUCAUGUUUUGCUAGAACACGCUGCAAAUCAUCAUUCAAUGAAAGGCCCUGGCUUAGCAGCUCUUCAUCGCUGUGACAAUUUAAUGCAUGGAAAUAGUAAGAGAACCAUAUCAUAAUAAGUACUCAUACGAACACAACACACUCUACAGAAAUUCAAUCAGUAAUACAAAGCUACAUUGUGAAAUCUAGUUACGGAAAAAGCAACCAGCAAACAUGAGUUCAGUCGCCCAAUUUUCAGCAAAUAAUACAGUCAUGUACAUAAAUGGGCGUAUCUCAAACAUAACACAGUAAUACAGUAUCAGAUAUAAAUUUUGGACUAGAACAUAGCUGAAGUAUGCAUAUAGUAUCCCCAAAAAAAAGAUGUCUAUAGUAGUAAUGAUUACCUACAGGGCUGAACUAGCUAAUAUAUUUUCUUUCCGUUGUGUAUUUCUGUUUAAUUAGACAAAUAGUGGAUUGGUGGUACUACCACCACAAUUUCUAUAUAUAUUUCUGAUCUGAACACACCAAUAAGAAGUUGCCAAUUAUUCCUGAGAAGUUGCCAGUUAUUUUUGUAAAGUCACAUGCCUAAAAUGUAGAGAUUAGGGUGAAGUACCAUGACACAAACUAGUAUAUUCAGGAAUUAAUUAGAAUAAAGAGCAGUUUUAGGGGUACUUAGGGAGUGAAUGCAAGCUUAUUUAAAUUAUUGCAUCAAAACUGGCAAUAUAUUGAGCACUGUGUGUUAGUAGUAGCGGUAGGUUCAUGUUUUGGUGUUGUAUGCAUAUAGCAGAGAAGAGUAUCAGAGCUCACUGUGCCAGCGGCACUUGAUCCAACCAAGGAGGCAUGUGUCUCGCCGCCACCGUACAAGUUAGGACCAAGAGGGUCCAAUAGGAAAGCGGUGAAUCCAGUUGAAUGCAGCAACUUUGUCAACCAAACUCCAGCUUGGUCAGCAGUGAUUUGUCUGCUGACGCCAGCUGCACAUGGAUCAGCAGCUGGCAAGAGUUCCUGGGGAAGUGAGCUUGCAGUGGUCAGUGUGGCGAGAGUGAUGAGCCACAGUACAAGGAGGGAUAGGAUUCCAGAUAUGGCUCUGAGAAUGAUAUAGCCAGCUAUGUGUCAUAUGAAUCACUGUCACCAGAAUACAAAGCCUUCAUCGCUUUACCAAAUCUACAGUAGUCCCAACUGAUUGGAGAAUAGCAAAGCAGAUCCCUAGUUGUAUCAGGCUAUGUUGGAAGAGUUGACAGCCCUUGAGAAGAAGAAUAUGUGGGGCUUGAUAUAUACUUUCUCAUCAAAGAGCUGAUUUAUGAGGGAACAGCCUUGAAAUCCCAUCUUGAGGGGUGGUGGUGUUGUAUAUUGAGCUGCAUAUGUUAGUAGUAGUCGGCCAAAGGUCCUUGUAUAUGGUGUUCUAUGUAGCAAAGAAGAAUAGAGUGAACUCGAGAGAUUCCAGAAAUUUUGUCAAGAAACUAUAAAGGUGUAUAAUUGGAUAGCAUUUAGCAUAGAUAUUCACAGCAUUGUGUGUCCUUCUUUCCCUCAGUUUUAUCAAGAGGACAUCAGAAUGAAUUUGGUAGCAAAGGCAGUUAGUGGGUUAUCAAAACUAUUAAUUAGGUCGGAAAAAUGCAUAUCCUACAUUUCCACAACCCGAUUCCAUGUAGUUCACUGCUUAAACAGCCGGACACCACAGAAGAAACUUACGAGGUCGUGUUGACGAGCUGAACCACUCUCUGCUUGUAAGAACGACAUUGGUCCACAAGGUCCACAAUGACUUCCUGCCUUAGACCCUGCAUGUUCAUUACAGAUUUACAAUUAAGCAAUAUACUGACCUGACAUCUAAAUCAUAUAACUAGAAAUACUAUGGUUUAUAUAGUCCGGUGUUAAGAACUUUUAGACUCUGAAACAUGGCAGUAUACAUAUCCAACUUUAAGUAAGAAAAUUCAACACAGCCAUGUAGGAUGGUGUUAUUUUUUCCUGCAUUAACUUUCCGCAACAAAACUGGUCAUUGGAUCAUUUUAUGAACCACAUAUUGUUACAGCAUGUGAGUAGGCAAUGGGCAGUGAAAUACCUCUCUGUUACCAGGAUCAAUAGCAUUUAACAUCUCUGAGAGAACAUCCAUGACGCCACUUGCAUUCUGAAUUUCUGUCACACUGGAGAAAAAGUUUUGCAAAUUUGAAACAUUCUUAUAAAAGGGAACUCGAAGACUUCAAAGUAGUACACUGCUAACCACAGUGCUGAUGACACUGUGGUUACAGAAUUGGAAAGGAAACUAAAAGCAAUUACAGGUCAAAUAACAGAUAUAACUAGAAAAUUACUGUACAGUAAAAGGCACGCAUUCAAGCUCUGGAAAGAGGAAGCAUUUCAGUAUUUAAGGUCUCAUAUAUUUGUGCAUCACCUCAAAUUAAUACAUAAUAUCUUAGGGUUCUGGUUAGGUUAUGCCGUAACACUUCUCUAUAAAAUGAUCCUAACGGAAAUAAUAAUGUACACAUACUGUCAUCAUAUCAAUUACAUAAAUUUUGGAGGCAAAUUGCAUAGUAUAUUAAUGAGCAAAAGGAUUAGCAGUAUGUCAGCAAUCAAUACUGUCAUCAUUCAAAUGCGCACAAGAUAAUGGACAUAGUUCACAUUAGUUCUGAGCAUCAUUUAUCCGUGCCUGCAUGGUCACUAAGUUCGUGAAGAUAAUGUACCUUAGUGUAGAUACUUCUGGCACUGAAGAUGAUUCAGGUGCCUCUUGCCGAUAGUCAGUAUUACGUAAAGCAGGAGGAGGGUAGUUCUGUAGAGGUUGAGUUUGUGGUGGAGUAUAGAUUGGCACAGAACUCUCUGACCUUUGAGGAAAUACGGCUCCAGCACGCUGGUAUAUCAGAGAGCGACACUAUGAUAAGUUGAAGGAAGCUUCAUAUAUCAAAGAGAAAAUGUAUGAUGUACACUAGAGCACAGAUGUUUUCAUGUUACUGAUGAAUGUUGGCUUAAGAAAUGCUCAAAAAAUAUUGUACAACUGAUUUAAUCUGAUCUAGUAAAGGAAGAUGAACCAAAUGUCAGCAUACUUAAAGUGAAUAAUACCAGCAGUUCUUGAUAUGCAGCAUAAUAUUGUGGGUAUCUUGCACGAGCACCACCAAAAGCUUCUUGCCAGGUGUCAAUCAAAAUGAGUAUCUUCUCUUUUACAUGAUAAUCAGGCUACAAAACAAAAGGGAAAUCAAAACUGAAAUCUUAUUCUUAAUAUUAUAUUGUGAGACAGAAUACUAAUUUGCAGGCAGACCUUUUUCUUAACAAUCUUCACCAUUUCAUGGAGUAUAUCUCUCUCAGCAACAUGCAUGUGAACAAAAUCUCCACAAUUUUUAAUCAGCGUCUCCAGCAGCUAAAAAGGGGAAAUAAAAUGAAGUACUUCAGUACAGGCUUGCUUAGCUUACUUGGGAUUAGAUUACAGAACAAAUAAACCACAAGUAUGACUUUCCAACUAGCACUAUGCACAGAUACAGAGAUACAAGAUACUGCUCAGCAUAGGUUAAGGAAACUAACAAGUGACAAGGCUACGUUACAUAGCCCAUUAUGUUCUCCCUCAUAAAUUCUUCUGAAUCUGUCACCUAGAUCACUCCUAAUAUCCGCAAUCCAAACAAACUUGUAUUCACCAUCACACCCAUCUUUAAGAUGCUAUUCAAGCAUGAAUCAUUUGACAUACAAUGAUGUUGAAGUGCUGACUGGAGCCUCUUCAAUGUCUUUUUGGCUCUGGCUAACUGUCAAUCAUUGAUCAUUACAUGAGAUUCUCCGCUUCACAUUAUUAUGGCUACCAUCAACUUCCGAACAAGCAAUCAGUAGCUCAUCACGCUAGCUUCAUCCUAGUUUAGCUUCUAGCCAACUUAUCAUUCCGAAAUCAUCACCAAACCAUAAGAUGACGCACCCAAUAUGGAGUCAUUAAUCAAUUCAUAUGUAAGUAAUACUGAAAGAUGUACAGAACUUUGCAUUAUCAUGGAGAUAAAGAUACGAGUGCACAAAAUGAUACUUACUGUUAGUGCGAGGAGCUGGAUCUUUGAGUUCUUGUGUCCAAUCCGUUUCUUGAUAGACUUGACUACAUCUUUAGCUUGCCUAUGUGCACAUAAAGUAUGAGAGAAUAUACUAGUAGUGAAAAUGUUAAAUACGGCAUACCAUGCAACAAUAUAGCAAAUAACUGGCACACGAGCUAAAAUAACAUUUGGUCCGAGACUGUCUAAUACUCCCUCCGUCCCAAAAUAAGUGUCUCAACUUUAGUACAACUUAUAAGCCUCAGACCAAAAUCCUCGUGAUUUCUUCAAAGCCCCUAUGCAGGGGCGGAGCUCUGUAGGGGCAGACCCGGGCCAUGGCCCACCCAGGAAUUUGACAACAAUUUUUUUUACUAGUCAUCUUAGGCCAGCCCACUGAGCGCACACACGCAUAGCCGCACAGGCCAACCUCCAUCUUCUCCUCGUCUCAGGAGGGCUACUCACGCACGCUGCACGCGCAAGCGGCUUUCCCCAUUUCCCCAAUCUCACUAUCAAACUCAUCUAGCCGCGCCGCCGAUGCCGACCGCCGCCGACAGGGAGCACGGUCCAUCGGAGCACGCCGCCCGCCGUCUCGCGGAGCAACUGCCGCGGCGAUGCCCCCCCCCCCUCCCCCGCGGGACCUCGCCUCGCCCCUGCCAUGCUACCUCCCGCCCAGACUGAUCUUGCCGCCCAUCAUCCGCUGCCUCCGGGAUCCAGUGCGUCGUGCAUGCUUCCGGCCAUCCAUUCCCGCGGUUGUUCUCCUCCAACUCCAAGUCUACAAGACUACAAGGCUGGCGCCCCCAUGACUUAACCCCCUGCCCUGCCGCACGCACAAUUCACAGGUAAUUUUUCCCCAAACACUCAAUUUGAUAAGCAAAUAGCCUGAAUUUAUUUAGUUCCAUACAACUAGUGAUCAGUCCUGCUAGUGAUAAAUAAUAGCUUGAUGAUCUGAUCUUAUGCAAAUUUCAACAUAGGUAGUCAUGGGAAGGAAAAUCAGACUCAGAGAAGAAUUGAUUUAGUUUUUAAAAGAAAAAGAGAUGACAUAACUCAAGUUGAGUAAGACCAUGAAUUGCCCUUGCUUGAAUUGGAACAACAACAGCCUGAACAACAACAUAACCAAGAUGGAGGAGUUCGAACAAAUGAAGUUGUUACUUUCCGAGGUAUCGAGUUCUUGCAGCGACACCCUGGAUUGCGCCCUCAAAUUUGGCAAUAUCCACCAGUUCAGAGAGAUACCGUGAGAAGAGCAUAUUUGAUGUUAGGUCCUAUGCAACCCCGCCUAGAGAACUAUAAACCUUCAGGUGAACCAGGGCAUCAACGCCGCUUCCAGUAUAGUUGGUUUGAUGAUUUUCCAUCAUGGCUAGAGUACUCAGUGGACAAGAGUUGUGCGUAUUGUCUAUAUUGCUUUGUCUCCAGUAACAAAGAGAAUACACGAGGUGGUUCUCAUGUCUUCAUGGUACAUGGAUUUGACAGUUGGAAGAGGGUUUGUGGGAAACAUUGUGCAUUCUUGACACAUAUAGGAUCUGGACACAUAUAGGAUUUGGAUCUGCUAGCUCAUUCUUGUAACAUGUCGCUAUGAUUCAUAAUUUGAAAGGAAAAUUGUGCUCUUCUUUUGUCUGGCCCGCCCAACUUUUUCUUUCAAGCUCCGCCACUGCCCCUAUGGCUUUGAAACAUCAAUACUACUCGUACCGGUGAUUAUCUAUUUUGAUGGAACAUGCACUUACUGCACAAGCUUCAUGAACAGCUCAACAGGUCAAGAUUAUUACAUUCAUUGUCUAUACGAAGUCAAAAAAAAACUAACAAGGAGUCCUCAAAAUUCGCUGGCACAAGCUCCACUAAAAUCCUGGUUAUCGAAUAUUUGUUUCUUCCACUCCAUGCAAGUUUUCUUAUCCUUUCCAGUACCAUUACUAGCUGCUACUGAACAGCUUGUUCAUAUUCACUUCUACAGGUCACAGGACAAUAUGUCAGCUAUAACAUUUGUAUAGUGAUUGGAAAGAGCUGACCAUGUCACAUUUUCCCAUCACAACCCCAAUCCUUGUCAUUCCUUGACUAGGCACGGUAUAUGCUAUCCUGUGGCAAGAAGAUGGGAGAUCUUUUGGCACCAGCAGGCGAGCCAGGAGUGCAGAUAACUCGGGUGUAUUGCAUCUCCAAACAAAAUUCACACUAAACUGGCAUCUCAACUGUAGAUUUAACUAACCUGGACAGGGCAUUGAUUCCUUAAUUUCAGUUUCUUUACUUAUCAGUGAAUAGUGAUUAGUGAAAAAAUUCGCAUUCACUCCAUGUCUACACUGUACCACGAAAAUAGAUUGAACCUCAGUUGAAUUUUGCAGGACAACAGGAUCGAUCAAUCAUUCCAGUCUGAGCCCUCGCCCCAUAUUUACCACAAGCGUCACCCCGACCUCCAUCCUACAAAAUCAUGGGGAGACUACCACAGAAUAGCAGCGGGACAGACCAGACCCCGUCCCAAUCAAGCACAGUACCUCUCGUCUCGACCACGAGCACCACUCCACGCCGACGAUGCCGUGAACGAUCAAAGCAGACAUGUGGAUAGCAAAGGGGAGGGCGAAGAAGGGCUCACGAGGGGUCGUGGUUGAGGAUGUCGCAGAUCUCGAGGUUGAGGGACCAGUCGGGCCCGAUGAGCGACUCGCUGGUCGCGCGAUCGACCAGGACGGACUGCGGCAUCGCGGCGGGGCGCCUGGUCGGCGUCGGUGGGGACGGGAGAGAGGAGCAGCGCAAACCCUAGUCGGCGAGCCUCGCUGUUUCCGUAUCUUCGCGUUUGCUUGGCCCCUCUAUGUCCGGUCGGUCGGACGACGAAAGGAAGAAAAAUUCUCUCUCUUUAAUUAAAAAAAAUCCCUAUUGGGAAUCGGAAUUUGAUUUUGAUCUGGUUCGGCCAGAUUUGCUCUAACUUUGGUAUAGAUUGUCUUGUUUCUUUUUAAAGCUAAACGCCCUCCGACUCUUUAUUCAUUAGGCGCCAGUAUGUCUGACUGCAAACAAUCAAUCAGCCACACAGGGAUUGUACAUACAAAUGCAUAAAAACAGAAAGUUUUAACGAGUGUCUAGCUAGAUGGUGUGCCGCCAUGUUAGUCUAGCGGCUUGCAAACCGUAGCUCAAAUCCCUGGAAUAAAGUAGACAGAUCCUUCAUCUCCGUGAUGAGGUGAAAACACGCCGACCUCUGAGGUAACUCCCAGAGCCGCUGAAUCUCUUGACAGUCCGUCUCCAACACCACUUGCUGAAAGCCCAUGUCAUGCGACAUUAGGAUCGUGUCUCUGCAUGCAAGUAGCUCAAUGGAUAACGGGUCAAUAACCCCGUCAUAUCUUGUACCUCCCGCUCUAACAAAAGCUCCAUGAUGAUCUCGAGCAAUGAAGCCCGCUCCUCCAUGAAUUAGACCCAUGUCCGUAGCACCAUUGGUAUUGAUCUUUAUCCAUCCCGCCUCCGGUGGCAACCACCUCGGGUGGGCAGUAGCUUGAGUUUUCUUCCUCUCAGGGAUCUCAAGCGCCCUGAUAAUCUCUUCAAUGAUCACCAUUGAUUUGAUCGGCUGGUACACCAACUCACCAUGAAUAUAGUUGUUCCUGGAGUGCCACCAGCCCACAUCACGGUAAUCAUAAUAGUCGUCACUUCCUUCUUGUAUAAUCGUUGAUCUAACAGAUCUCGAGACCAUGACAGUGGGUGUAAUCUUGGUAUGUCAAUACCAAAGAAACGUUAUGCUGCCUCCCAAAAACGUCUUGCAUGUUCACAUUCUAUCAGCGAGUGAAACAACGUUUCAUUGUCAUGUCCACACAUCGGGCAAUUAGGUAGCUACUUGAUGUGCCGCCUUUAAAGCUCACCAUAGGACGGUAAGAAAUUCUUCAGCGCUCGCCACCAAAACACCCGGAUCUUUGGGAGCACAUUGAUCUUCCACAAUGCCUUCCAUAUGGCCGAAUCACCAGAUGGUAAACCAACAGUUUUAGUCACCUGUAUUUUAGUUUGCAUCUCAUGCCUGUACGCCGACCUGACCGUGAAAAGGCCGGACUUUUCCCUUGCCCAUGCCCACACAUCUGCCCCUCCCACCCGCGGUCUUGCCAUGGCAAGAAUAGCUGUCGCAUCGGGGGCGUAGAAAAUACUCCGGACUAACUCCGUGUCCCAUUGAUUUGUAGUCGGGUCAAUCAGGUCCGACACUAACUGUACUGAGUUCUGCUCAAGAGCUCCCAUCGGUUUCAUUGAUAUGGUGCCAUCAAUCCAUUGAUCAUGCCACACCUUAGUGGUCUCUCCAUUACCAAUUCGCCGGAUGAGUCCCCUCUUCAACAUCUCUCUCCCUUUGAUAAUUGCUUUCCAUGUCUUGGAGGCACUAGCCGGACAGCCCGCCGUUAGAAAAUUCUCACUAGGAAAAUAUCGUGCUUUAAGCACACAUGCACACAAGCUAUUUGGAUUCUCAAGUAACCUCCAUGCUUGCUUUGCUAACAACGCAUCGUUGAAAGUUUCCAGGUCUCGGAAUUCCAUUCCUCCUUGUGACUUUGCAAUGCACAUCUUAUCCCAAGAUUGCCAAUGCAUUCCUUUUUUGUCAAGUGAUCCGGCCCACCAAUAUUGUGACAUAUUUGUCGUCAAUUUCUUGCACAAAACCUUUUGUGAGUUUGAAACAACUCAUAGAGUAGGCUGGUAGAGCUUGGACCACUAAAUUCAAAAGAACUUCUCUUGCUGGACAUGACAUUUUUCUUUUGCACCAUCCUUGCACCCUUGCCCUUGAUCGUUCAUUAAUAUGUUCAAAACUUUGCUCUAUAAUUUUUCCCGAUGUUGUUGGGAGCCCAAGAUACUUUCCCGACAUCGCUUCUCUUUGGAUUUGUAAGGCUGCCUUGACUCCCAUCUUAACUGAGGCGCCACUAUUAGGGCUAAAAACAUGGAGCUUUUUAGCUUGUUUGCACUCUGUCCGGAGCCUAUGUUGUAGUGGUGCAGAAUUUCAUUCAGCCUUACAGCACUCCUGGAGUUAGCUUUCAUAAAAACUAAGCAGUCAUCUGCAAAUAACAGAUGGGAAAUCCAUGGGGCAGUAUUGCCAACUCUGAUCCCCCUAUCAAUCCAACCUCCAUCAUAGUUUUGCAGCAUACACGAGAGGCCCUCUCCACACAGUAAGAACAGAUACGGUGAGAUCGGGUCCCCCUAACGAAAACCUCUCGGCGGUGAGAACAGCGGCAGCAAAUCUCCGUUGACUUUCACUUGGAAACUCACUGUUGUCACACACGCCAUGACAAGGGUAAUCCACCGCUCAUGAAACCCAAGUUGGCGCAUUAUCCCUUCUAGAUACUCCCAUUCUACUCGGUCGUACGCUUUGAUCAUAUCGAUCUUCACCGUACACCAACCUUGUUUUCCUCUCUUCCUUCUCAUCGAGUGUAUGCACUCGUACGCCACUAGGACAUUGUCAGUGAUCAACCGUCCCGGGACAAAAGCACUCUGUUCCUCUGCAAUAAUCUCAUCAAGAAUCUCCCUCAAGCGACUAGCAAGCACUUUAGAACAGAUUUUGUAUAUAACAUUGCACAAGGAGAUCGGCCUAUACUUUGUAAUAUUUUGCGUAUUUUUUACCUUUGGUAUAAGCACAAUCACCGUGCUAUUCACCGAAGCCGGCAUGUGUCCUCCAUUCAAGAGACCGAGGAUCGCCGCUGUAACAUCCGGUCCUAUCAACUCCCAGUAGCGUUGAUAGAAUCCAGCAUGGAAACCAUCACAUCCGGGUGCCUUUGUCGGCCCCAUAGCAAAGAGCGCAGCCUUCACUUCUUCUUCUCUGAACGGCCUAAUCAGUCGUUCAUUCAUUGGUUAUGUUAUUUUAUGUGGUACAUGGUGAAGUACUACCUCCACAUCCGUAUACUCUUGCGCCGUGUACAGGCUAGUAUAGAACUGCUGCACCUCGGCAUGAAUCUCUUCUUUUGUCUCACAAAUCUCCCCAUCCACAGUUUGGAGGCUGUGAAUCCGGUUUAUGCUCUUGCGUGUUGCCGCUCGAGCCUGGAAGAAGCCCGUUCUACGAUCACCUGCCUUAAGCCAGUUUGCCCUCGACCUCUGCCGCGCCAAGGUCUCCUCCUUUGAAGGAGCUCCGAGAGCUGACGGUCUAGGUCUUUUUCUUUCUUGGUCGGCCCCCGAAACAAAGAGUUGGAUCUUUCCUUCUCGUACUCCUUGCGUACAUUCUUACUUUUCCUAUUCAUGUCUCCAACCUUCUUUGUUUUCUAGUCCGUAAGAUGUACUUGCAUGUCCGAAAGGGCAUGUUCUAUGCCCUGCAAUCCUUGCAUUCCCGCCCCCUUGCGCGAGCCAUGUAACACAGCGACAUCAUAUGAUUCUUCCUGCUGCCACGCCUCCUCAUACAUGAAUCUGCACUGGAGCCUUUCUUCCUCCAAUGCUACCCCCUUCAUCUUCACCACUAGCAUGCACUGAUCAGAUUUUGGCGUUGGAGAGUGUCUCACGAAGGAAGCUGGAUACAUUGACAUCAUCGCCGGGUUCACUAAGAACCUGUCAAGCCGAACUUUUACAUUUGAAUCACCACGUUGCAUAUUAUCCCAAGUGAAAGGUACACCCUGGAAACCAAGAUCGUGUAGUUCACAAUCAUCCACACAUUGCCUAAAACCCUCCAUUUGCCACUCCAGGCGAUCAUGAGCUCCAAAGUACUCCGAGUUAUCAAGAAUUUCAUUAAAAUCACCUCCACAUAACCACGGAGCAUCACUUUGAGCUUUCAACCAUCUCAAUAAGUUCCAACUUUCUACACGUUCACUUCGUCUAGCUUUCGCAUAGAAACCCGUAAAGCGCCACUUUUUAUUAUCACCUCGUAUGUUCUUAACCGAUACAUCAAUAUGCUGAUUUGAGAAAGUAUUCAGAGUUACUUCUACUUCUCUUGACCAAAACAAAGUUAGUCCGCCACUGAGGCCGUCACUACUAACAGGGUAGCAACCCUCAAAACCAAGUCGGGUAGUAAGAUCACUAACCCUUCUUCCCUCAAUCUUCGUCUCCGAAACAAAGACUAGGGCGGGAACUUCUCUCUUCACUAAGUUGUGAAGUUCACGAACUGUCUCCGGGUUCCCAAGCCUGCGACAGUUCCACGAUAUACAAUUCAUUGCUCCCCGCGGGGCUGGUACCCAGCCUCCGCGAGGUUCCUUGCUUCUUCUUCCUCCGCCUUCUUCUUUGAGUCUCUGUUGUCCUCUCGUGACACGGACGACUCAUCCUCCUCAUUCUGCCUCUUCCUCAUGAUCAUCUCACUAUCUUGCAGUAACAUAGGGUCACUACCACCGCCCCUCGCAGUUGAGUUGUUCAUGUCGACCCUGCGAUAAACUGAGUUUGUCCCUCAACCUGUCCUACCUCCUCUGCCAUCAACACCUCUCCCCCUUGCAUUAAAUUGAUAGAUUGUGUUUUUAACUCUGCCAUUGGGAGGUCUCUCGGGUGAGUUUACUUCCAAACCAGGCUCCACAUCUUCAUGUCCUCCUCUUGUCUUGCUGUCUUCCCAUGUCACGGGCGACCUCAUGCUUAUAAGUUGGUUGUCUGCCCCAACUCCUGUUUUUACUAGUUGAGAAUCUGAGAGCCUCCCGGUACGGCGGCCUUCCAUGCUCAUCUCUCCCAAAAGGUGUAGGGCACAUCAGUUCGGCAUGUCCCAACAACUCACAUGAGAAGCAAAAGUAGGGUAAAUUUUCAUAUUGGAUAUCAAAGAAUUCAGACUCUUUUGUUUUUGACUUCUCCAAUUGCACCCAACACAUCAAAGGUUAAUCUACCUUGAUCCAAGCCCUGAAUCUGAGGCAGUCCCCAAAAGAAAACCCCUUGUCAUCCGCAUCCAGCGCAACCGCAUCUCCCACCAUGCUUGCUAUGCGUUUUGGCCACGGCGGGCAUAAUAGGUUAAACGGGAGGUUGAUCACCCGUGCCCAGAUUUCGAUCUUGUCUAAUUCUAGCUCUAUAGGGCGUGAUCUGAUGUUGAACCUCUCCAGAACCACACAGUGCUUCCCCACCACCCAUGGACCUCCCUCGAAGAUCCUAUCGCAAUCCCUCUUGAUGGCAAAACUAGCAAGAAAAACGUUCUUUCCCUUUGGCCGGAAAUUCAGUCCCCUCGGAUUACCCCACGCAGGGCGCAGGGCCUCCUCGAUGAUGUUCACGUGAAAGGACUUCCGAUACAAAACCUUGCCUAUGAGUGCAUAAUAUUCUUCCACUCUCUCUUCCUCCUCCUCAUCAAUGGCAAGCUUCGUCUUCUCCUUCUCCGUUAGAUCCAGUCGAUCCAUCAUCUGCUCCACCGUCUCAGCCUCCUUCGUCUUUCCCUCUCUCCUCCCAUGGCGCUUGACUCCGCCAUUACUUCGCCCAGCCUCCCCUGAUCCCCUUGCCCAUAGGGCCGCCAAGGGUGGGAAAGGACGCCAGGUCCCCCCUUGAUCACCCCGAGCAGGCCGACUGCCAAGAUCCGGCGAUCGGAGAGUAGAUGAGUCGGCGAUCACAAAACCCUAGUCAUGUGCCCCCGAGAUCGCCUCGUGCACUGCCCUGCCACUCGAAGCCCUAGAAAAAUGUUUCGGGGCUUGCAUGGUGUGUGUUCGCUUCUUGGUCGCGUGUGGUAGUUGUCGGUGUCAAAACCGGCGGAUCUCGGGUAGGGGGGUCCCGAUCUGUGCGUCUAAGGCUAAUGGUAAUAGGAGGUAAGGGACACAAUGUUUACCCAGGUUCGGGCCCUCUCGAUGGAGGUAAAACCCUACUUCCUGCUUGAUUGAUAUUGAUGAUAUGAGUGUUACAAGAGUUGAUCUACCACGAGAUCGUAGAGGCUAAACCCUAGAAGCUAGCCUAUGAUGAUUAUGAAUGUUGUGAUUGUCCUCAUACGGACUAAACUCUCCGGUUUAUAUAGACACAGAGAGAACUAGGGUUUACAUGGAGUCGGUUACAAGGAAGGAAAUAUAAUAUCCGAAUCGUCAAGCUUGUCUUCCACGCAAAGGAGAGUCCCAUCCGGGCACGGGACGAAGUCUUGAGUCUUGUAUCUUCACGGUCCAACAAUCCGACCAAAGUAUAUAGUCCGGCUGUCCGGAUACCCCCUAAUCUAGGACUCCCUCAGUAGCCCCUGAACCAGGCUUCAAUGACGAUGAGUCCGGUGCGCAGUUGUCUUCGGCAUUGCAAGGCGGGUUCCAUAUCCGAAUAGUCCAAAGUACUUGUUGUGACGAACGGUGUCCGGCUUCCCAUUAAUGUUGUACUCCUCGGCUUAUGUGCUUCAAUAAUGACCAUCUCCACGUGUCGAGCGAAUACGAGGAGCCGAGGCACUUUUGCAUUUGCCCCCUUGGUCCUGUACGCAAACCAUGUAUUUGAAGGGACGGGGAUUCCUAGAUCCAAGCUUCACCUUCUUCCCUUGAACGAGCAUCCAACAGAGCGCGCCCAGAAAAAAUCAUUCCAGCAUGGCCGGCCGUCGCAGCUCCUCCUCUUGCUCCCGUAGCUCUAAGCCAGGCGAUUGGGAAGAAUGUUCUGUUUCUCAAAACCGCUUAAUAGAGUUGCAGACCCAGGGGUUUCUUCCACCAGCGUUCAUGGUCCCCGUCCGAGCCGGACUAGCCACCUAUAAUGGUGGGGAGCAAGCGGAGAAAUCUCCAAAUCCAUCCCCAGGGGAGCGAAUAUGCCUCAUCCCGCAUCUGCUAAGAGGCGUCGGGUUUCCAAUCCAUCCAUUCCUUCGUGGGCUCCUGGAGUUUUACGGCCUCCAGUUGCACAACUUUACCCCUGCCUCCAUGCUGCACAUAGCAGGAUACGUCGCCCUUUGUGAAUUAUUUCUAGGCUGCGAGGCUCACUUCGGAUUAUGGAAGAAGUUGUUCUGCCUCGUCCCUCGCAACCAGGGGGAAUCCAUAUGUCAAGUGGGCGGAGCCGAGGUAUGGCGCGUCGCCGAGACCAGAUACCUAUCCGGUACUCCCAAGAAGGCACCAGAGAACUGGCCCUCGGAGUGGUUUUAUAUCGAUGACGUUCCCCUUCUGGAUCCAGUCCGGACAAGUCUCCCUAAGUUUAGUAAUGCUCCGCCGAAGACAUGCCGAAGUUGGCGCCCUCGGGGCCCCCAAGAGGAGGAUACCAGAGAAGUACAUUUCCUGAUGAGCAGGAUAAAGUUACUGGCAAAAUCAGGGCUGACAAUAGUCGAGGUUAUGGCAAUAUGCAUAAUGCGGGGAGUGCAACCGCUUCAGUAUCGGGGGAAGCCCAUGUGGCACUACAACGGGGAAGAUGAUGCCCCCGCUGUGGUCGUAAGGGUCCGGACUCGGCCAAUGCUCUGUCGAGAAUAUUGUUCGAUUUGUAUAAAGGAGAAGAAGAAGAAUUCCUUCAUAUUAAACUGCGGGAUGGGUUUUCUAUGUACAACCCCCAAGCUGGGUAAGUCGUCACUCUUCCCCCCACUUCAUUCAUUCUGGCGUCAUUCGUCAAGACUAUUAACCUCGACAUCUCCGAGCAGGAACCGAGGAGGGCCGUAGAAGGAUUCUCCAGCCCCUCCCCGCAGCCAGAGGACCCCGGAAGGGCCUUCGAUCUAGGACUCGAAGAAGACCCGGAUAUUACCGUGGAGCUCAUCAACGGGACAUUUUAUCAGGCGAGCUGUGAUGGCGCCUCAGUGGCCAUUAUUGCCGACUAUCCUGGACUGCUACCUGCAUCGCGGGUAAGCAAAGCCAUAAACCCCUAUCCUCAUAAGAGGAAUCCUUUUUGAUGCCAUGCCUUAUGCCUGAAGUAUCGUAUUCGUGUAGAGACGACAGUCGGAAUGCGGUACCGAGCCCCUAGGGGCCCGUCGGCAAAGGGCGUCCGGAUCGGGCAGGUUUAAGAGGAAGGCGGUUAGGGCCGAAACGCCGCUACAAAGGUAUGGAAAAAACCUACUAUGUGAUUAUUGUGUUUAAAAUGUGACAGUGUCCUUUGUGUCCUGGCAGAAAGAGGAGUAGCCGGACUAUAUCCGGAGAUCCUGCCAAUCACGCCUCCACCAACCGGAUUCCAGGACCAGCUUCGAGGGAGGAGGCGGACACGGGGCCAAUGCCGAAUUGUCCUCCGAUAGAGGAUGCGGAUAUGCUCUUCGCCACGAAUUCCGAAGUAGAGAGUGCCAUGAAUCAUCAGCGCCGACGGGCCAUUCUUUGCAACAGCAUCUUUUUCGAAGAGGCAUUUAACGCCUUCAAUUCGAGAGACGCAUACACCCGAGCUGCUCAAGGCGGGCUUGCCCGUGCGACGGACCAGUAUGCCAAAGAUAUACGGGUAAGAAAAUUUGAUAAGCAUGUAUAGUAGUAGCCCCUGAGACUUGAAACGGUUGGAAUAACUGUUUUAAGGAUCAAUUUAUGCAUAGGUCCUUGUAGAUAAGAAUGAACAAUUGUCUCGAGAGCUGGAGGAGUGCAAGGCCCAACUGAGGGCCACAGUUGCCAAGCUAGAGGAAUCCCAGAAGGCCUCUUUUGGUAAAAUUUGUCUCAAUUGUAUGGAAGUGUACCAGUUAGUAAGUGGCUUGUAUGAUAAGUCUAACAGAAAAUUCUGCAGACAAUCCCGGGGUUAAUCCGGAGGUCGUAGGAGGUGACGAGUCACAUCUCCAAAGGCAGCUAAAAGCUGGCGAGCGUAUUCUUACGCAAGUUAGGCAGGAGAAGAACAAUCUUCAAGAUGCCAAUGUCCGGCUGGGCGUCGAAUUAGGAGACGUUCGCACUCAGCGGGCGGACUCCGUGAAGGAGAACAGAAGGCUCCGUCGUGGCAUUUAUGGUAAGUGCCUAGACGAACUGUAGUACAGUUUGGCGAGGGAGCAUAUUGGCAGAUUUUUAUAUCUGUAGGUAUGCUAACGGGCCGUCCUGAAGAGGAGAUGCCCGCGUCCACAGGUGAUCUGCUGCGAGACCUCUCACAACUGCACGAGCGAGCUCGGUAGGUGAUGCAGGGUAUUGCCCAGGCCUUGUGGCCAUCCACUUCCCUGCCAAAAGGCAUGUGGGAGCUCGUGGAUAUGCUCCAAGGAGCAGGGCGGCGCUUCCGAUUGUGGAAGAUGUUAGCCUGCCGACAAGGUGCAAGGGAAGCCUGGGCUAUGGUGAAGAUGCACUACACCAAGCUUGACCCGAACCAUAUGGCCAAAGUCGGAUCGGCGGGGCCAGAUGGGCAAGAAAUUCCCGUGAGUCUGGUGUAUGACCAGGUAGCGUUAGCCGCAAAGUAUUCCCAACAGGAUUGUAGGCUAGAUAGCCUGUUGGAUGGUAUAGAGGAAGAAUUUAGUCAGUCCAAGUGACUAUGUAAUUCAAUGGACAUAUGUAGUCCCUAGCCGGAUUAAAAUCAUUUGUCAUGGCUGACCUUUUCGCUUCAGCCUCCGAAUCCAAUAGUCUGGGCUGUAUCCGAAUACCCGCUCAGUUAUGUAGAACCGGGGUAUGCGUGGAAACCAGUCGUAGGGGUCAUAAGUGCUUGAACAGACAAGUACCCAACUAGUUAUGUUAUAUUACAUGGAUAGUAAGAAACAUCUUCCAGGGAGAAUAGUUCCGUUAGGGGUUCCUUUCCCUGGGUGCGCAUGCAUCAAUGUACAUGUCCGUACUGCGAACGGAGGCGCGGGAUAAAAAACUUCAGGGGGUUCACGUUGUGAUAAACGAAAAAAAAACAUAUUUUGUUCACCGACGGAAUAUUCCCUUAAGAACGCUAGCUUUCGGCUUCACCCAGUCUGAGGUACACAUCCGGCUCAACCGGCAGUAACAAUCGCAGAGGUGCUCCCCUUAUGCCCUAACCGAAUUAACGGGAACGUAGGGUAUAAAUACAAGAGCCAGGCAACCCAACAUGGCCACAUCUUAAGUCAUAUCGAUGCAUAUAAUGGUGAAAAAAAGGCACAUAUGGAAAAAGAACGCAUAUGUGAUAAGUGUUGGUGUCAAAACCGGCGGAUCUCGGGUAGGGGGUCCCGAUCUGUGUGUCUUAGGCUGAUGGUAACAGGAAGCAAGGGACACAAUGUUUACCCAGGUUCGGGCCCUCUCGAUGGAGGUAAAAUCCUACUUCCUGCUUGAUUAAUAUUGAAGGUAUGAGUAGUACAAGAGUAGAUCUACCACGAGAUCGUAGAGGCUAAACCCUAGAAGCUAGCCUAUGAUGGUAUGAUUGUAAUUGUGAUCGGCCCUCUAAGGACCAACCUCUCCGGUUUAUAUAGACAUCGGAGAGGGCUAGGGUUUACAUGGAGCUGGUUACAAGGAAGGAAAUAUAAUAUCCGGAUCGCCAAGCUUGUCUUCCACGCAAAGGAGAGUCCCAUCUGGACAUGGGCCGGAGUCUUGAGUCUUGUAUCUUCACGUUCCAAUAGUCCGAUGUCCGGAUACCCCCUAAUCCAGGACUCCCUCAGUAGCCCCUGAACCAAGCUUCAAUGACGAUGAGUCCGGCACGCAUUCUUGUCUUCGGCAUUGCAAGGCGGGUUCCUUCUCCGAAUACUCCAAGGUAAUUAUCGAACACGUAGACCGUGUCCAAAUCUGCAAAAUGAUCUUCAUAUAUCACCGUAGAGAGAACGAUAUUUCACAAAUGUACUCUAUUGACAACUUUUUAGACGUAACAUGUCAUUAUGGUCGGGUCAUUAUUCGAAUCGUUUUCCUUCAACCAGCCAUAACGCAUAUUGCGAGGCGGUUUCCUUGACAUGUCUUGUCAAAGCAGAGAUCGUGUCCCCUUAUCACGGGAUUCUCAUCAAUACGGGUAUGGGUAAUCCCACCAUGCCAUCAAUCGUGGCACUUGGGAGGUGAGCGUUUCCCAACGGGCAAGUGGGGAGAAGCACCGCUUCCGUCGCCUCUAUAAGGGGAUAAGAGUUCCCCAUUUUUACCCACGCCUUCUUCCUCCUUUGCCCACUCUUGCCCCCUCGAGCUCCAGGGCCCUAGUCCAAGUCUCCUCCGCACAACUAAACAUGUCCGGAGCAGGAGGUAAGUGGGUGGCUUCCACCGUGAAGGAGAAGGAUAUCGCGAAUCUUCGGGCGGCCGGAUACUUGGCCGCAGACAUAGCGCACCGGCUACCAGACGAUGGGCAGGUCAUUCCAACCCCAGGACCCCACGAGAGGGUCGUGUUUCUCGCCCACUUCGUCCGUGGACUGGGGUUUCCACUUCACCCCUUCGUCCGCGGGCUCAUGUUCUACUACGGGCUAGAUUUCCAUGAUCUAGCCCCGAACUUCGUCCUCAACAUCUCGGCAUUCAUCGUCGUAUGCGAGGCCUUCCUCCGCAUCAAGCCUCAUUUCGGCUUGUGGCUACAAAUCUUCUGCGUGAAGCCGAAGAUCGUGAGCGGCCAGCAAGCGGAGUGCGGAGGAGCCAUGGUGGGCAAGAUGCCUAACGUCACCUGGCUUGAUGGCUCCUUUGCGGAAACUGUGAAGGGGUGGCAGUCGGGGUGGUUCUACAUCACCGAGCCGCGCGACGCCAACUGGGCGGUGGCCCCCGAGUUCCGAUCCGGAACCCCCAUGCAGCUCACCUCCUGGGGUGAGAAGGGCCUGUCCUGGGGCGAAUCUAAAGAGCUGACUGGACUCCAAAACUGCAUCAAGAGCAUGAAGGACAAGAACAUCAAGCUUUGUCAACGUGAUCUCGGUCAUGCUCGUUCGCCAGAUUCUGCCGUGCCAAAGGCGGGCAUUCAAUCUGUGGGAGUUCGUCCCGGCCGAACACCAGAUGCUUCAGAGGCUCUACGGCAUGAAGCACAAAAACGCAUGGAAGGCGUUGUUCAAGGCCUCCGAAGUACCUCCUCCCACAUCCGAGGACCGUGGGCUCCAUGCCGUGCGGCCUCCUAUUUAGGUGAGUUUCUAGGCUACCACCGGAUUUGGUUCUUCCCAAUAUAUUCAUGGGGGAGCCUCAAGUAAUUGUGCAUAUUUGUUCAGGAUUACAUGGAGACAGCGGAGCAGAUUGACUGUCCGGCUCCGCUGCCAGAAGACCCGGCUGAUGCUCUCCUGACGGAGAUGCUGGUCCCGGCGCCCUACAAGGUGCCGGAGAAGAAGGCCAAAAAGAAGGCCCUGGGGAUCCGAAAGGGUCUCCGGCGUAAGGUUGCACCGGAAACCUCGUCCGAAGACGACGAGGCACGCUCCUUCCCCGAAGGGGAAGAAGAAGAAGAAGAGGAGGCCGCCCCAUCCGGAGAGGACGGGGGGCCUGAGAGGGCGGACCAGGGGGCCAGGAGAGGCCCCCGGCGCAAGGCCGUCAUACCCUCGUCGUCCGAUGACGACGAGGCAGAUUCCUCCCAUGGAGGAGGGAAAAAACAAGAAGAAACUCCUCCUCCCCAUAUUGGGGGGGGGGAGAAAAAGAGGAAGGCCGCCCCGGAGGGGAGGCUAGGACGUCCAAGAAGGGAAAGGCGUCCCUUCCGGACUACUCCGCCACCGCCGCCGAUAGCGAGGAGGGGUGGUUGCCCAGGAAGAAGCCCCUAGUGCGAUCGUAAGUAUCUGCACUCUAUCAUAAUUUUGCUUCAUAGUUUUGUUAUAACGCCGAACUUGCAUGUAGUCCGACCAGGGUCCAUCCCGAGGUGUCAUCUUUGGAUGGGUCCUUGAGCGAUUUGGCGAUGAACUCGCUCCCGACGGCCACUACUCCUCAGCCUGCAAAUGACACGGAGGUGUUGUCCCAAAGGCUCCUAGAGCGGGGGGAGGUGGCUCUGGAGGCGCCCCAAGGCGGCAUUCCAGACGUCGGACACGCGGGGUUCAAGAUCCCCGCAGAUCGUGUCGGUGAGAGCCAUAGUAGGUCGGGCUCUCAACCGAACACGGUUCCGGAGCCUUCAAUGGUUCCGGAUAAGGCGGGCAGCCCCUCGUUAAGGAGGGAGAGCCGUCUGUGUCGAGGACUUCCGUUGCGCCCGAGGCGCCGGAUUGUCUGCUGGAAGCGCUUCGCGGCGCUUCCAUGGAUGAAGAGCACCGUACUCUUAUGAGUGCGGUGAUUCAGAAGGUUUCGUCCGCCAAGAGCGGACUAACCGAAGCUUGCACCAGCCUCCUGACAGUCUUUGAGGUAAGUAUUAAAAAUGUGUGAAAUUACCACCCGAUAGGUAGUAUCCCCUGAUACUCUGUUUGGUGUUCGGAAGGAAAAACCAAACGGAGGGUCAAUUAUAAUUCGCAGGAGUCUAACAAUAAGUUUGAAUGUGAAUAAGCAGGCUAUGCUGCUUGCCGCUACGGUCCGUACCGUCGAGAUCGCCAGACUAAAACAGGACCUAGAGCAGGCUCAGGGAGAGCUCAACCUCACGAGGAGGCAGCUCGAAGAGAACAAAGGUGAGUGAUUCCCCGCUCUCAUAUAAUGAAGGAUAGAUAAAAUUGGUUAUUGUAACAACGAAACGUCGUGAUUUUGUAACAGGGGCCACCACCGAAGUGGCGUCUCUGAAGAAAGCAUUGUCCGAGGCCGAACACAAGGCGGCCUUGGAACGCAAGGAGUGCGGGAAGCAAGAUGCUAGAGUGGGCGAGGUACAGCAAGAGCUCCAGGAGCUCGGCAAAAAGUUCGAGUCCGUGGAGCAUGAGCUUAAGGCGAAAGAGGCCGAGCUUGCGAAGGCCCUUGCAAGUAUAAAAGACGCCAAGGCCGAAGCCGAGAAGGGACAGUAGGAAAUCCAGGAGGCCAAAAAGAUAGUGACGGGUAAGAAAUUCUUUAUGCAAAGCAAACAUGUGGAGGAGGCGUUUCUUUUACUUACCCGAGUUCGGAGCUCUCCAGGGGCAUUCGCAGAUCUACCAUGCAGCGUAUCAGAUACCGCGGAGUUCUACCGUGCCCAGGAGGGGAGGUCAACGAAGAAGCUGUUCUGGUCCCAGUAUGCUGGGGCCAAACAUCCAACGCCUCUGAGUGACCAACUAAAGCAGUUGGUUGAACUCCACAGGGCAGCCGAAGCGGCUAUGAAGGAUUUCAUAGUCCGGAUGUGGCCCGGUGAGCCCCUGCCCGCCAGCUACUUCGGCCUGAUCAAGCAGACGGUGAAUACCUGUCCACGGCUUGAAGUGAUCAAAUGAUCCGUUUGCAUUGAGGGUGCCCGCCAGGCCUUUGCCCAUGCGAAGGUGCAUUGGGGCAAGCUGGAUGCGGAGAAGCUGGUGAAGGAUGGGCCGCCGGAGGGCAAGGCGCGCCGCUAUCCCGAGAAAUAUUAUGAAGGCGUUAUGAAGGGCGCUCGUCUCGUGGCCGAUGAAUGUACCAAGGACACAAUUUUAGAAUGAAUUCACUUCUUCCAUGUUUGUAAUAUAAGGAUGAAGUUACUUGCACUAUGUAGUGCUUUUUAAUUUAAAAUAUUACCUUCUGUGUGGAUGUUUAUAAAAUUCUGAAAGUAGGCCAGUCGUCGGCUUCCGCCCUCACGCAACUAGUACUGGGGUGUUCGUGGAAAACCCGGACACUCUUUAUCCAAAUGUUUGGUCCCUUAAGGAGGUGUGUGGCGCAGCGAACAAGGCAAUCGGACUAUGCGGCUUUAUAACUUUCACAUAGCCAUAGAACUCUACAAUUUUAAAUUUCGGCGAAGCCCCUAGAAUCCGGAAGGCCGAAUUGGGGCGCUAUAUACGCCUAGAUCGGACGAAGCCGAUUUAUCGCCUAAAGCGGAAAGAUCUUUAAGGAUUUUGAGACCUCUCGAACAGGGACCAGCUCUCUCCACACCAUGCCGGUCAAUUUUCGGCUUUCUCUACUGAGGUGCUCGUCCGGAAGAACCGGGACACAAUCGCAGUAGUUCUCCCUGCGCUAUCUUAGCCGAUAUAACGGAACGUAAGGUACCAAAACAAGGAAGCCGGGCUAACCCAACUGUAGACCCAAGACACGAUUCGGAGCUUAUGCAUAUAAUGCUAUAAGUUCGGGGUGCUGCACUGUUGAAAGUGUUCGGACUUUGCUUGCCGCAUUGCGGGGUGCCAUAAGAAGCCCGUGGCAAAAUAAAUGUACCAAAGUGUACGGAUGCAAUAGUAAAUAAACAUUUAUAGAAAAAAUGUGCAGAUAGGAAUAAUAAGCUGACACUAUAUAUGAUUUCCCAUUGAUGAAUAAUACGUUUAAGCGUAUGUUUACAAUGCGUGCAUUUAAGCAGAAAUGUGUAGGACUAUUUAACAUGUCCUAUUCAAGGGCAGGCUGCAUGUAGGUAUAUAAAAUAGGUAUAACGAUCGUGAACAGAUUCCACCUGGGUAUUUCCUUUGAUGCGCAAAGCAUGUUACCUCCUUGGUUUGCUCUCCUUUGUAAGUUUGACGAUCCGGCUCUUCUGAAGAGGCUGCACUAAAGCAAUGUCCUGAAAGGUAAAAGGAAAGGUUAUGAAGGUAUAUUGCGGUGAUACCGCACUGUUGACUGAGCCACUGCUGCGCCUCUGCCUGUGCCCAUGGUAUUUUGAGUGCAUAAUUGUGUACACGUGGCAUGAAUGCUGCUUUGAUAGGAUUUGAGCGGAGGCCGGACUGCUAGUCGCGCUCUUGGCGUGCCUGGUGAUCCUGUUGCGGGGUGCUCCGGACUCGCUUGACGGUGCUUGAGGUUGUCGUCGCUGGAUUGGUGGUUUGUCGGAGGAGGUCGCAUUGUACUUCUGCCGCGAGGGCUGCAGUAUGCUCUUCUGUACGGAGAGAGCAGUCCAUGUUUCCGUUGACUGUUAUGACCCCGCGCAGGCCUGGCAUCUUGAGCUUAAAGUAUGCAUAGUGUGGUACCGCGUUGAAUCUAGCGAAUGCGGUUUGUCCGAGCAGUGCAUGGUAACCACUACGGAAAGGGACGAUAUCGAAGAUUAACUCUUCGCUUCGGAAGUUAUCCAGAGAUCCAAAGACCACUUCCAAUGUUAUAGAGCCUGUACAACGGGCCUCUACUCCAGGAACUACACCUUUAAAGGUGGUUUUGGUGGGCUUGAUCCUUGAAGGGUCGAUGCCCAUUUUGCGCACUAUGUCCUGAUAAAGCAGGUUCAGGCUGCUGCCGCCGUCCAUGAGGACUCACGUGAGGUGGAAUCCGUUAAUGAUUGGGUCUAAGACCAAUGCGGCUGAGCUGCCGUGACGGAUGCUAGUAGGAUGAUCCCUACGAUCAAAGGUGAUCGGACAAGCUGACCAUGGGUUGAACUUGGGGGCGACUGCCUCCAUCGCGUAGACGUCCCGUAGUGCUCGCUUCCGUUCCCGCCUGGGAAUGUGAGUAGCGUAGAUCAUGUUGACCGUUUUCACCCGGGGGGGAUUUCUUAUGCCCCCCCGUGUUCGGACGCCGGGGCUCUUCAUCAUUGUUGAUGUGCAGGCCCUUGUCCUUGUUUUUGGCGUUUAUUUUGCCGGCCAGUUUGAACACCCAACAGUCUCUAUUAGUGUGGUUAGCUGGCUUGUCUGGGGUGCCAUGAAUUUGGCACGGGCGCUCCAGUAUGCGGUCAAGACUGGACGGUCCCUGAUUGUUUCGUUUGAACGGUUUCUUCCACUGACCGGAUUUGGAUCUGCUGAAUCCAGCGUUGACUGCCGUGUCUUCGGUGUUGUCGCCGUUGUUCCGUCGCUUGUGUCUUUUGCGCCAUAGCUUGCCAUUAUUGUCACGGACGUCUGAAGUGCCAGAAUGUGGCGUAGUGCUGCUGUGAGCCAACCAGCUGUCCUCGCCCGCGCAAAACGGGUCAUUAGUGUCGUGAGAGCUGCCAUGGACUUGGGUUUCUCCUGGCUGAGGUGUCGGGCGAGCCACUCGUCGCGGAUAUUAUGCUUGAAGGCCGCCAGGGCUUCGGCGUCCGGACAGUCAACUCUUUGGUUCUUUUUAGUUAGGAACCGAGUCCAGAAUUUCCUGGCGGAUUCUCCGGGCUGUUGAGUAAUGUGGCUCAAGUCAUCGGCGUCCGGAGGUCGCACAUAUGUGCCUUGGAAGUUGUCAAGGAAUGUGUCUUCCAGAUUUUCCCAGCUGCCAAUGGAAUUUGCAGGCAGGCUUUUUAGCAAGUGCCGGGCGGGUCCUUUGAGCUUAAGGGGAAGAUACUUGAUGGCGUGUAGAUCGUCUCCGCGGGCCAUGUGGAUGUGGAAAAGGAAAUCUUCAAUCCAUACCGCGGGGUCUGUUGUGCCAUUGUAUGAUUCGAUGUUUACGGGUUUGAACCCUUUUGAGAAUUCAUGAUCCAUCACUUCAUCGGUGAAGCAGACGGGGUGUGCGGCGCCUCUGUGCCGGGCUAUGUCGCAACGCAGUCCGACUAAGUCUGGCUGGUUGUGUUCGGCCCGGCCGGAUUUACUGUUAGUGUAUCAGGUAUGACGAUCAUCGUCAUGUGCUGCAGCGCGCCCCCGUGAUCCGUAGAUCGAUCUUGGUUGUCCUGCGGUGUUAUCCAAUCUUUCGUGCAGGUCCUGAGUAUUGCCCCGGGCCGUGGUAAACUGGCGCGGGGGUGCGGGCUGGUAUUCGGGCUGAUAUGCCAUUUUAUCCCGACCUCGAGGCGGCCGGUCAGCCGUGUGGCGCUCGAGUCCAUAUUCCUCGGCUGCCAUGACUUCUGUUCAUCUGUCUGUGAGCGGGUCUUGAUCAUCUUGAAGCUGUUCUUGCUUCUUCUUCAGGCUCCUCGCAGUGGCAAUAAGCCGACGCUUGAAGCGCUCCUGCUCCACGGGGUCCUCAGGCACGCCGAACUCGUCGUCGCUGAGGCUAAUCUUGUCUUCGAAGGGGGGCAUGUAGUUGUCCUCCUCCGGAUACCCGCCCGUCGCCUGUUCAUCUGGGCUGUCCUGCCCAUCUUCCUGCUCGGCCUGCUCGAAGGCGGGUUGAUCGGGGUUGUAUUCAUCUUCGGCACCGUCCGGAUUGUUGUCGUUCUGGUGCCGGUAUUGCCGUGGCGGGGCUUGGAGCGGCGCUGGCGGGGCUUGGAGCGGCGCUGGCGACGCCCAUGCUUUGCUUUCUUCUUGGAGGGGUUAUCCUCCAUUGCCUCAUCGCCAUUGGUUUCUUUCAGAGUGUCCACCAUAUAUAUGUCAUAUGAAGAGGUGGCUGUCCACCGCCCCUUGGGUGGUGGUUCCUGUUCUUCUCCUACAUCAUCGUCCAGACCGUCGAUGUCUUCGGAGUCAAAGUCAAGCACGUCGGUCAAGUCAUCGACCGUGGCUAUGAAGUGGGUGGUGGGUGGGCAACGAAUUCCUUCGUUGCUAGCUUCCCACACGAGCCGGACAUAGUUCGCCCGAGAGCCUCCUGACAAAGAGAGAGACUUUAAUGUGUUCAGCAUGUCGCCAAAGGGCGAGUGCUGGAAGAUAUCCGCAGCGGUGAACUCCAUAACCGGAGCCCAGCCAGGCUCGGCGGGCUCGGGAGUGCGCGGACUGGAACCUACAACCGGAUACGAGUCCGGGGGUCUAGAAUCACAAGCGUCCCUAGGGGUGAGGCCUGUGUUCGGCUCUACCGCCGAUGAGUAUGCGGCCUGCGAGGCGGGGCCCAUCCCUCCGUCCUCAGGUGAUGCAGCUUGUUCCGGAUUUAGGUCCGGGGCUAUUGCAGGGGUGAUAUCCCGAGCAUUGUCCGACAGCAGGUCUAGGCCGUGCUCGUCAUGAUUGUCCGACGCUCUCGGCAUAAGCCAGAUUCCAUCAAAGAUCAAGUCUCCGCGGAUAUUGGCCGUGUAGUUCAGGUUUCCGAACCUGACCUGGUGGCCGGGGGCGUAGCUAUCGAUCUGCUCUAGAUGGCCAAGCGAAUUGGCCCGCAGUGCGAAUCCGCCGAACACAAAGAUCUGUCCGGGGAAAAAGUAUCGCCCUGGACCGUGUUGUUGACGAUUGAAGGCGCCAUCAAGCCUCGAAGCGACGACACAGAGGAACUCUCGAUGAAAGCACCAAUGUCGGUGUCAAAACUGGCGGAUCUCGGGUAGGGGGUCCCGAUCUGUGCGUCUUAGGCUGAUGGUAACAGGAAGCAAAGGACAUAAUGUUUACCCAGGUUCGGGCCCUCUCGAUGGAGGUAAAACCCUACUUCCUGCUUGAUUAAUAUUGAAGAUAUAAGUAGUACAAGAGUAGAUCUACCACGAGAUCGUAGAGGCUAAACCCUAGAAGCUAGCCUAUGAUAGUAUGAUUGUAAUUGUGAUCGGCCUUCUAAGGACCAACCUCUCCGGUUUAUAUAGACACGGAGAGGGCUAGGGUUUACAUGGAGUCGGUUACAAGGAAGGAAAUAUAAUAUCCGGAUCGCCAAGCUUGUCUUCCAUGCAAAGGAGAGGCCCAUCCGGACACGGGCCGGAGUCUUGAGUCUUGUAUCUUCACGUUCCAAUAGUCCGGACGAUGUAUAUAGUCCGGCUGUCCGGAUACCCCCUAAUCCAGGACUCCCUCAAUAAGCAAGAAGCCAUGAAAGCAAUUAUAUUCAGCUUCCGUAUAGGAAGCCCCCAGGUAUGUCUUACACACAUAGUGCGGUCAGAACAAUCCGAGCAUCCGCACUGUAUUGAGUAAUUUGUGUGAAGAAUGAAAAAGAACGAGAAAGGAAAAGGGGGAGGAACAAAAUGAAAAAGGAGUGGUAAGGAGACGAACACUGAGUUUGGCAUUAGGCGUAGAAUCUCCGGAGUCUGGCCGCGUUCCAUGGGUUCGGCUCGAGUCUGUUAUCAGAUGCAUUACGUAGACGGUACGCUCCUCCAAUGAGAACUUUGUCAAUAACAAAGGGGCCCUCCCACUUAGGUUUGAGCUUGUCCUUCUUCUCCGGUAGGCGUAGAACGAGUUCACCAAUAUUAUAAGUUUUGGCCCGCACUUCUCUGCUUUGGUACCGUCGAGCCUGCUGCUGAUAGAAUGCGGAACGGGCCUUUGCGAUGUCGCACUCCUCCUCCAGGGCAUCUAAGUCGUCCUGCCGGUCUAGCUCGACUUCCUUCUCUUUGUACAUGCAUACGCAAGGUGAAUCAUGUAAUAUAUCACAGGGUAGUACUGCUUCUGCACCGUAUACCAUAAAAAAUGGUGUGUAUCCGGUGGUGCGAUUCGGCGUGGUCCGUAGCCCCCAGAGUACGGAGUCGAUUUCCUCGACCCAGUGCGUGUCUGAUUCCGUCAAGGAACGCACUAGUCUGGGUUUGAUGCCACUCAUGAUGAGACCGUUUGCACGUUCGACCUGGCCAUUUGUUUGGGGAUGGUAGACGGAGGCAUAAUCGAGCUUAAUGCCCAUGUUGUCGCACCAGGUUUUCACUUCAUCGGCUGUGAAGUUUGAGCCAUUGUCAGUGAUGAUGUUGUGGGGGAUGCCGUAUCGGUGUAAGACCCCGGAUAUGAAGUCUAUCACUGGUCCGGAUUCGGCCGUUUUGACUGGUUUGGCUUCUAUCCAUUUGGUGAACUUGUCCAGCAUGACCAACAAGUAUUUUUUCUUAUGGCUUCCCCCUUUAAGGGGUCCGACAAUAUCCAGCCCCCAGAUCACGAAGGGCCAAGUGAUGGGGAUUGUUUGGAGAGCGGUAGGGGGCAUGUGGCUCUGAUUGGCAAAGAGCUGGCAACCGACGCAGUGUUGAACAAGGUCUUGUGCGUCUGCUUGGGCUGUAGGCCAAUAAAAGCCUGUGCGGAAGGCCUUGCUGACAAGUGCCGAAGCUGUAGCGUGGUGUCCGCCGAGUCCGGCAUGGAUUUCAGCCAAGAGCUACCGCCCUUCCUCUUCAAAGAUGCAUCUUUGGAGCACUCUGGUCGCGCUUUUCUUAUAGAGUUCCUCCUCAUGGACCUUGUAGGCUUUGGAACGCCGCAUGAUGCAACAUGCUUCAUUUUGGUCCUCGGGUAGCUCCUGCCUAUUUAGGUAGGCCAAGAAAGGCUUGGUCCAUGGGGCAAUUACAGCCAUGAUUUCGUGGGCCGAAGGUGUUAUUUCGGUGGCGGAGCCUCCGAUUACGUCUGAUGGUUCAGAGUCAAGGGGUGUAUCCGGGUCCGUGCUAGUGUUGCCGGACUCCCCUUCCCAUACUACGGACGGCCUGAACAGCCUUUCCAGGAAUAUGUUAGGUAGGACAGGGUCGCGUUUAGCACCGAUGUGGGCGAGGAUAUCCGCUGCUUGAUUGUUUUCUCGAGCCACAUGGUGGAAUUUGAGCCCCUCGAACCGAGCUGACAUUUUGAGGACGACAUUACGAUAGGCCGCCAUUUUCGGAUCCUUGGCAUCAAAGUCUCCGUUUAUUUGUGAUAUUGCUAGGUUUGAAUCCCUGCGCACCUCCAGGCGUUGAAUGCCCAUAGAGACUGCCAUCCGAAGACCAUGCAACAGAGCCUCAUAUUCGGGUGCGUUGUUGGAGUCUGUAUAUAAUAUUUGGAGUACGUAUUGGACCGUGUCUCCGGUGGGAGACAUCAGGACUACCCCUGCUCCCAAUCCGGCCAGCAUUUUAGAGCCGUCGAAGUGCAUGAUCCAGUUAGAGUACGCGCCGUACUCUUUAGGGAGUUCGGCUUCUGUCCAUUCGGCGACAAAGUCAGCCAGUACUUGCGAUUUAAUGGCCCGCCGUGAUUUGUAUGUUAUGUCAAACGAAAGGAGCUCGAUGGCCCAUUUAGCAAUCUGGCAUGUAGCAUUGCAGUUAUUUGUUAUGUCGUUGAGUGGUACUUCGGAGGCCACCGUGAUCGAACACUCUUGGAAGUAGUGUCGUAGCUUCCGGGAUGCCAUGAAGACCGCAUAUGCUAUCUUUUGAUAGUGUGGGUAUCGGGAUUUGCAUGGGGUGAGGACCGUGGAUACGUAAUAUACCGGCUUUUGGAGCGGGAAUUUGUAUCCGUUAGCCUCUCGUUUGACGAUGAGCGCUGCGCUUACAACUUGAUGUGUUGCAGCUAUGUACAAUAGCAUAGGUUCGCCAGUAUUUGGCGCUGUUAGGACUGGAUUACUGGCCAACAAGGUCUUUAUUUCAUCCAGUCCGGCCGCGGCUGCAUCCGUCCACAUGAAGUGUUCGGUGCGCCGAAGAAGGUGGUAAAGAGGUAAUGCCUUCUCCUAAUCGGGAGAUAAAGCGAGUUAUGGCAGCCACGCACCCAGCUAGUUUCUGGAUAUGCUUGAGGUCUGUUGGGAUAGCCAACUGCGACAGAGCUCAGAUUUUUGCCAGAUUCGCUUCAAUUCCUCUAUUGGAAACAAUGAAGCCUAGCAGCUUUCCGGAGGGCACGCCGAAAACACAUUUUUCCGGGUUUAGCUUGAUGUCGUAUCUCCGGAGGUUAUCGAACGUAAGCCUCAAGUCAUCUAUUAGGGUUUCGACGUGUCUUGUUUUUAUGACCACGUCAUCCAUGUAUGCCUCCACUGCUUUGUCGAUUUGCUUCUCCAGGCAUGUUUGAAUCAUGCGUUGAUAGGUUGCGCCGGCAUUUUUAAGCCCGAAAGGCAUAGUGUUGAAGCAGAAAAGACCGUAUGGCGUUAUGAAGGCCGUUGCAGCUUGGUCGGACUCUGCCAUUUUUAUUUGAUGAUAUCCAGAGUAUGCGUCGAGGAAACACAGUGAGUCGUGUCCUGUGGUGGCGUCGAUGAUUUGGUCGAUGCGAGGGAGGGGGAAGGGAUCCUUGGGGCAAGCCUUGUUGAGGUCUUUGAAGUCGACGCAUAGGCACCAGGAUUUGUCCUUCUUCGGUACCAUUACCAGGUUAGCCAGCCAGUCCGGAUGCUUGAUAUCUCUGAUGAAUCCGGCCUCAAGUAGCUUGGCUAGCUCUUCUCCCAUGGCUUGCCGUUUAGGCUCUGAGAAGCGCCUAAGAGUCUGUUUGACUGGCUUGUAUCCUUUCAGUAUGUUGAGGCUGUGUUCGGCCAGCUCGCGUGGGAUGCCCGACAUGUCUGAAGGAUGCCAGGCGAAAAUGUCCCAAUUCUCGCGUAGGAACUUGCAUAGUGCGGCGUCCAUUGUGGGGCUCAACUGUGUCCCGAUGGAAGCUGUCUUCGUGGGGUCCGUUGGAUGGACCUGGAAUUUAACUAUCUCGUUUGCGGGUUUAAAUGAUGUGGACUUGGGUCGUUUUUCGAGUAUCACGUCGUCCCUGUCCACUGUGGUGUGCAGUGUUGUUAGUUCUUCGGCCGCUAGGGCUUCAAAUAAUGCCUCCAGGGCAAGUGCUGCAGUUUUAUUUUCCGCGCGGAGUGCGACGUCUGGGUCACUCGCUAGAGUGAUGAUUCCAUUGGGUCCGGGCAUUUUAAGCUUCAUGUAUCCAUAAUGGGGUAUAGCUUGAAAGCUUGUGAAUGCAUCCCGCCCUAAAAGGGCGUGGUAUCCGCUGCUAAAAGGAGCCACUUGGAAUGUGAUUUCUUCGGACCUGUAAUUCUCCGAGGUACCGAAUACUACAUCGAGUGUGAUUUUUCCCGAACACCGUGCCUCCCGACUAGGGAUGAUUCCCCUAAAGGUUGUGCCGCUCUGCUCAAUGCGACUUUUGUCCAUUUCCAUCUUGAUGAGUGUUUCUUUAUAGAUCAAGUUUAGUCCACUUCCGCCGUCAAUGAGUACUUUGGUGAGCCGAAAGCCGUCUAUGAUUGGGCUAAGGACCAAUGCGGCAGGUGCCCGGACUGUCUGGAAUUGUGGUUCGGCACUGGCACUGAAAGUUAUAGCAGUGUCGUUCCACGGGUUUAUUUUUGCCACGUGGCAAAUUUCAGCGAGAUUUCGAUGGGCCCACUUGCGCCUAUUAUUUGAGGUGAAAGUCUCGAAGACUAUUAAUACCGCAUUGUUGUCAUUGGCGGGACGUUGCUCUUCUUUAUUGAUAAGAAGAUCCUCGCCGCUUUUUGCUACCUGCCGGAGUAUCCAACAUGCUCUAAGGCUAUGUGUUGGCUUAGUGUCCGGCGUGCCAUGAAUUUUGCAUGGCCCAUUGAGCCAUUCUUCCAAUACGGUUCCACGCCCUGGAGUGGGCUUUGGCUUUUUCGGAGUUGGAUCGGGCAACUUAGGAGAGUUUGCCCUUUUAACUCGGAGGGAAGGCUUAGUGAGAGCCGAAUUAUCCCAAAAGUCGGCUUGGGUUUUCCAGGUACUUUUCAUCGCACAGUACUUCUGUACUAUGGCUGCUAAGUCAGCAAAGUGUACUAUGUCACAACAACUUAUAGCAUUAAGGAUCCCUUUGUUCGUUCAAUUUGUGCAAAAAAAUGAAAUUGCGUCCUCCUCGCGACAGUCCUUAACCUUGUUUAUCACAAGGAGGAAUUUGGCCUAGUAGCGAUGUACUGUUUCUUGUGGCUCUUGUCUGAUAUGGGAGAGAUGGAUUAAGUAUGGGUGGGUGGGUGUAGUUGAAUCUAGAUUCUGAUCCGAUCUAACGCCCUGGGGCAGGGGAGCUUCCGGGCUUGACGGCCCGGGAUCCGGAGCGCUGCCCGAUUUUUCCGGCCUGAUACCCGAUUCUAAGUCCGGGAUCUAGGUCGUGUUCUCCCGUGAGCGGGUAUCCGGCUCAGGGAGCUCAGUAAUCCGGACAUAAUUCGUCCUCAAAAUAGAGGGACGAUCCAUAUGUGGUUCCUCCACCACCGCUAUCUCGUGGGUGACCGGUGGGGAUUUAAUAUCCCUCUGGUCGGGUUUAAGCCCAAUCCGGUCGUAGUCCGUAGCGAUUCCCAAAGCGGCGAUGCGAUCCAAGAGCUCAUUAAGGGAAGAGAGCUCCAUUGGAUCCAUCUGUUUGGCGAGUUCCGAAUUGACGUGGAGGCUAUUCGUGAUGACCCGAGAGGUCAUCGUCGGUGCGACAGCCGAUCAGGCGGCCAUGAUGAAGCCACCUAGUCGAAGAGUUUGGCCUACAGCCAGAGCUCCCCCAGAGGUGAUGUUGUCCUUGACAACGAGACGGGCCAUCGAGCCUUGCAACGACGGCACAGAGGAACUCUCAAUGAAAGCACCAAUGUUAGUGUCAAAACCGGCGGAUCUCGGGUAGGGGGUCCCGAUCUGUGCGUCUAAGGCUAAUGGUAACAUGAGGUAAGGGACACAAUAUUUACCCAGGUUUGGGCCCUCUCGAUGGAGGUAAAACCCUACUUCCUUCUUGAUUGAUAUUGAUGAUAUGAGUGUUACAAGAGUUGAUCUACCACGAGAUCGUAGAGGCUAAACCCUAGAAGCUAGCCUAUGAUGAUUAUGAAUGUUGUGAUUGUCCUCAUACGGACUAAACUCUGGUUUAUAUAGACACCGGAGAGAACUAGGGUUUACAUGGAGUCGGUUACAAGGAAGGAAAUAUAAUAUCCGAAUAGCCAAGCUUGUCUUCCACGCAAAGGAGAGUCCCAUCCGGACACGGGAUGAAGUCUUGAGUCUUGUAUCUUCACGGUCCAACAGUCCGGCCAAAGUAUAUAGUCCGGCUGUCCGGAUACCCCCUAAUCCAAGACUCCCUUAGUAGUGGCUCCAACUUUGGUAUAGAUUAUCAGCCUUAUUAUUUUCUCACUCGAGAUUUUGGGGACAUGUAAACUUGGAAAGUAGUACUUUUUUUCUAAACUAGUAGGAAUAACUUGGAACAUACUUAUAGAGUAUCUAUAGUGAGACGUCUCAACCCCCAACCCCCCGCCUAAAACGCCCGGGAGGCCGGCCCGGUCAAUGAUGGAUCAAGAAAAUGCGAUCAGACGGGCGCCUCAAACCGUCCUCCAACGCCCGGACAGACCGGCACCCCUCAUAUUCAGUCUAAAUCUAGGGCACGACUGGGCACGUCUGCAACAUCGGAAUUGGCACACUCUUGCCCAUCCUGACCCCACAUAUAUUCGUCCACAUCCGCUUCCCGGACCAAACCCUAGCCAAUCCCCUCUAGUCGACUCCGCCACCCAAGCUCUGUACGGCGAUCUCCAGUGUUCUCUGGCAUGGGGGAGGGCAGCGCCCGCAUUGCCCUUCAUCGCUCCCGGGAGGAUUGCACCCGACCAACAGGGGGAUCUGUUCGAUGUGAAUCCAUUGCAUUGGCGCAAAGGGCGCUUGGAUCCGCUGAGGCUGGUAGCCUUCCCAUCUCUGGUCUGCCAGAGUAUGAGUGGUACAUGGAUCAGUGCGCCCAUCGUGGGAAGGAGAGGAUAAGGGUGGCUGAGGCUCGCCUUGCUGCCGACAUGGCGGCGGAUGCAGUGGCACGUGUUGUUGCGGAGGAGGAAGCCAUUUGUCCUUGCAUCAUAAAGAAGUGGCAGCGGGGGGACACGCUCUCUCUCGCCCUAGAGCAAAAUCGGGCGGUAUGUGCCAUGGUCAGAUAGCCUCCCAAAGAGAAGAAGGAGGACAAUGAUGGGUCGAACGACUCCGGUGAUGAGCAUGUCCGGCUAGAUCCGUUUUGUGUUUUCGAGUGCUACUUCCGCGGGAAAGAUGGCAAAGGUGCCGGGAAGGGCAAGGGCAGUUGUGGAUGAGCUUCUCCAUAGCUAAUAUGUAAGUAGAACAUUCCAAAUUUUGGUAGUUUGAUGGCAUGUUGAUGUAGUAGCCAAACGGUGUGUGUUGUAUCAUUUAGGUACGCUGCAUGUGUUUUGUAUGGAUUUGAGGUUUGCUAAUUGAGGUGUCCAGUUGUGUGAAGGAAAAUUUGAGGUGUGACCAGUCACUAUCUGCGGAUGCGUCCGGACGCGUCCGCCGGCUAAUAGGGGCGGAUUUGUCAAGUCCGGACAUAGAUGCUCUUAAAAGAGGAGUCCAGGGAGUGUCAUUGACUCGCUACAAUGCGGACCCUCAAACUACCAGCAUCCGUUCGGACCGCGAGGUCCGCCAUGCAGUCCUGCAUCUGUCUAUUGAUCGGUCUUGGCGUCCUUUUUCCCACGAACUAGAAGCAAACAAGGGGCUUUGUGGGCGUCCAUACCGCUGCCACCCACGCGUCUGACAACCCUGACCCACCCAAAACCUUCUCCCGCACUCACGCCCUUUCCCGCUCAAAGCGGUCAGCACCGCAUUCAUGCCGGCCAGAGUGGACGCAACCUCUCACUGGAGUCGACAUUGUAGCUGCGUGCCGACCGAGAGCAUCGCCUCGCCAUUUAAACCAGUGUGUUUGCUGAUACGUCUCCAACAUAUCUAUAAUUUAUGAAAUAUUCAUGCCAUGUAUACAACAAUUUUAUAUUGUUUGGUAUGAUUUGAUUAGAACUAACCCAGACUAACGAUGUUUUCAGUAAAACUACCGUGGUGUUGUUUUUUAUGCAGAAAUAAAAGUUCUCGAAAUGGGCUAAAAAUUUACGAUGUUUUUUUAUGGACCAAAAGAGACUCCUGAAGCACCUGAGCUGGGCUAGGAAGUGAACAAGGAGGCCACAAGCCUAGGGGGCGCGCCCACCCCCCUAGGGCGCGUCUCCCUGGCUUGUGGGCCCUUCGGGCACCCUCCUGACGUGAGACCUACGCCAAAUCUUGGCGCGAGGGUGCCUGUCCGAACGUUUUGGUCAAACGUGUAAUGUUAAGUUAUUAGUAACUCAAUUGCUAUUAGUAGCCACUAUAUAACCAAGAGAUCAGAAUGUUCAAAGCACACAUGCUUCCCAAACCAUAUACAAAGACAGGCAAUAGUAGAAACCUGAUAUCACAAAUGAUAAUAUCCUUUGUAGGUACAACUUUAUUCCAUGUUUGUGGCUGGAACAUGUGUACAUCAGAAACUUUAACUACAAUAUGGUAAACAUCUCCACGACCAAGCAAGAAAUCAGAAAUAGAACAGCGGACAUCUUAAGUAAAGCAAGCACCGGCCAAUUACAUAUAAGUCUGUAUUAAUCCUCAGCACUGUCCAUGACGAAGAGGGUACAUAGGGUAGCAUACAGACUGCAACAUCUGCUUGUCCUUCGACAACAUCACAACAUUAACUAACCACAUGGGUCAAACACAUAAAUAAAUAAAUGUCGGACAAUAUGGUGCAACAGAAUCGGAGCUAGCAGAGACACGGGAAACUGCCUUAGAACAUCCAAAGAGACGCCCCCAUAGCCACACAUCAUUACUUCGUGCAUCCACAAACAAAAGGAUAGGGUCCUGCAUAUAUAUAGAUAGAUAGAUUUGCAAGCCCAGAUCAGCAGGAUGUCGGAGUCAUUUCUGAUGCAUAAUAAGGUUCAUGAUAUUUAAACAGUGAUAAUGGUAG